UCAUAUAUAUAUAUAUAUAUAUAUAUAUAUAUCGNNNNNNNNNNNNNNNNNNNNUUGGUGAUCGUUAAGGCUUUCAAAAGUUCAAUUUAGUUUUAAUGACCUUCAACGGUUUUAGUUUGACAUAAGCUGGACCGUUCAAAAUCAUUAAAACUAAAUCAAACUUUUGAAAGUCUUAACGAUCACCAAAUCAUAUGAAAUUUUGUAGAGGUGAUCUACUCAUAUAGACCUAAGAUAUGAACGGUGGAGAUGUAAAAAUUCAAUUGGAAAGUGGUGUAAUGCCCUAUCCCUAGAAAGUGGCCAAAAAAUAGGGAUCCCUCAAUGGAAGGGGGCUGAUAUAUAUAUAUAUAUAUAUACAUAUAUACACUUCGGUUCAUAUUUCAUCAACCAAUCUUUCCUAACUAUGAUAAUGUUCUAGGACACCUUGUAAAUCCAUCCUAGAACAAAGAAAGUUGCUAAAGACAAACAUCAGUCUGCUUACUCAUCCAUCCACUGUUUGUGGGGCCAAUACCGCACAAUGCCCAAGAGACCGCGCAACAUGCAUGAUAUUGAUAUUACCAACUAAACCAAUUAAUUUUGUAAUAAGUUGUAAAGAAAUUACGUUCUAUUCUUUAAGUUUCCUUUAGCAAGAACAUCAUGAAUUGACAAGUCUUUGACAAAACAUACAAGCAAAAUACUAUCAGAAGCAUGUCAGUGCAGGACAAAAAGAAAAAUGGUUAGUCAGGUCUUACCAGCAAAUACGUGUACCAAAAUUUUCCAGAGAUUAUGGACAUGACUUGCACGAAGCUUGUAAUGUAGAUUACAUCAUGUAAAUAGCUGAACAGUAAGACAACCCAAAAAGUCAAGAUUUUACAACAAAUCAGAUUAAUGUGUGCGCAUAAGCCUGCGUGUGCAAUUUUAUUCGACUUUGUGUGUGUGAGUGUAAGUUGACUACAUAAGUUAAUAAGCUUGGUAUUAUAAACACAAUACAUAUUACAUUUCUAAAUUUUUUAAAGCACCUAGGUUGUUAACUAUUACACGUCAAUAAUGUAGCAUGAGAAAAGAAUGAAGUUCAUGGUCUCUACUAAUUUAUUUGAUAUCUAUCAGAUGAAACACUGUAUCCACGUGCCAAACAAUGAAUCUCUAGAAAAAUAAUAGCUACAGUGCUGAAUGUAAGAGAACUUUCAGUUAAGCACUUAUCAUACAUAAUCAACAGAAUAUGGUAAAGAGAUCAAAAUCCGUGGUCCUUUUUUUAUCUAAUGUAGCAGUGUAUGUGAAGAAUUUUAAAGCUCUUGUAAACUAUAAGAAAUCAUUGAUUGGAAGGACAUACCCACAAACUCCACCAGUGGACAUAUCAAAUCCACCGUCUAGAAGCUCACCAUCAUCAGAAUAAGAAGGUUUUGCCAUUUGGGUGAGUUGUUGAUAAGGAAUAUAAUAAGCUACAGAUGUCAGCAGCAAAGCAACCCAGUUUUUCCAGGUAAAAGUAGAAUGGAAGAUGAGCAUCCUUACUACCACAUAAAUCACCUACAUCAAGUCACCAACCGAGCAUCAACAUCACUCUGCUCACCAUAAGUUUUAACAUAUAUCACUUAUUUAUACUCAACCAAAGUCCCAAAGCUUACAUUGCAGGCCAGAAUCAAGCGACGAAUAUUAGCCAUGUGCCGAGCAUUCUCUUCCUUGCGCUUUUUUGCUCCUUGAUUUGCCAUCUCUCUCUACGCCUCUGGACUUCUCUACCAGAAUCUGACAAUGUAAUAGGAAAACAAUAUCAGAUGGACAAGCUUGACCCCUUAAACUAGGCAGGCUAUGGCUUAGCCCCAAAGCUUAUGAGUUAUGAGAAUAUUUUUUCCUUCAUGAAAUAGACCUUNNNNNNNNNNNNNNNNNNNNNNAAAAUAGAAAUCCGCACCAAACCAUGGUGUGGACGUCCGCAGUUAAGAAGGCCUGUAUAUAUAUAUAUAUAUAGAUAUAUAUAUAACCUGCUAAAUAAUACAAGUAAAUCUAUCCCCAUAAAAUGUCUAUUCAUAUGAUUAUACAAUGACUUAGUAAAACCAAUGGUAGUGUAUUAGAUUUUAACCAACUUGAGAAAGAAAGUAAAUAAAAAGCCCCUACACAGUUUCGGACAUGCUAAUGCAGAAACUAUAGCCGUCACUAUACAAGACAAGGUCAGCACAGAACAAUAGAUGACGAUUAUGGUAUAAUUCCUUCAAAAAGUAAAAUUUAGUUUCUAACAAAAGUAAUGAGAAAAAGUAAAAUUUAGUUUCUAACAUGAUACAGGAAUUUACACAAAGAUUGCAUGACCUCAGAGGUGGCAAAAUAACAUUUUCAGUACAAAAACACUACAGAAAAAGAUAUCCCAAAAACACAAUGCUACACCACAGCGGCUGCUAAGUUAGCAUCAAACGAAACCUAUAUUAUUUAGAUUCUCACAUAGAAAAUCUGAUGUGGCUCCCCAACCCCAAAGUCCUUUACAAGACUCAAGUCUUAACCGUUGGUGAUUUUUGAUUUUACAGAAAGAAAACUAAACCCUCCACAAUCCCGUGUGAGUUUUAUACACAGUUGAGUAACACAGAGAACUAGGUAAGUCCUUGAAACCAACUGAAUUGCCAUCAUAGGGAACCAACAAACAGAACAACUUCUCAUCACCAUAACUUCCAUAUUUCUCAAUCAAUUUAAGCGUGUAAUAUAUUGAUUUUAUACUACUCAAGAAGCCCAACAAGUCUGUGCAAACAGUUCACGAUUUAAGGACUAAUAAGGAUAUUUAAGUUACCAAUAACGAAAAUUUCGACCAAAAUUUAUAAGAAGAGAAAUCCAACCGAACCCAUUCAGUCAACCAAGCAUUCCUAGGAUUCAAAUUCUUAUCAAUAGAAAGUGAAAAUCUCAAUGGCAAACCAACAGCUCUAAGAAUAAUCGAGACAAAGAAAGAGGGAAAGAAAAUAAACGGUAAUCACUGGACUACCAAAUUUUGAAAGUUUUCUCACCUCUAACACCCUGCUCCAAAGACAAGCCUUCAACUUUUCUCCCUUUCUUCCAAAUCGCCGGAGCUCUCCCUAUCCCCUGAAGUAAAUCGGCAAAACAAAGGCUCCCAACAUCACUCAAAACCGCUCAUGGAGUUUUUUUUNUUNNNNNNNNNNNNNNNNNNNNCUCUCUCUCUCUCUCUCUCUCUCUCUCUCUCUCUCUCUCUCUCUCUCUCUCUCUCUCUCUCUCUCUCUCUCUCUCUCUCUCUCUCUCUCUCUCUCUUCGUCUUCCUCCUCCCUCUCUUCUUCGAUCUCGAAUAUCCGACCAUGGCGGCGUCUCAGGCCAACACCAGCUCGACGACGAUAGCUCGGCGCUGCUUGAUAGAUGAUGAGGAAGUAGGCUCAACCUCGACGUCGCCAGAUCGACGACGAAGCCUUAACCUCAACCUCGACGCCGUCGGUUCGACGACGAUGCCUCGACCUCGACGUCGUCGGAUCGACGACUACGCACCUUGACCUCGACGUCUAUUACGUCCAAUUCCAUCAAUGACAACUUCUGAUUUGACCUCGACGGGAUCUCUGAAACCAAAUGGCUCGCCGGCUCAUCCUCGUGGCUCGUCUGGUCCUUGACGGCUAUGAUCGCCUUCCGCCGGCGAUUCGAGAUCCGUAUAGCUUAGUCGCCGCUGCUGACUCGAUGACAAGUCCUGGAUGACGCCGCUUCGAAGAUGUCGCUCUUAUUGGAGGUGACUGUUAUGGUAAAAUUCUAAGUGUAAAUUUGCUACAAUUUGUUUCUUUGGUUUUGAGAAAAUAUAAACAAAGAUUAGGAUGAUGUUUUUUGUUAAUUUGAUAGUGAGUGAGAAAUCAUGCACAUAAUCAUGUUAUGAUAAUGUAGGAGAUGAAUGGAACGAGAUUAAUAAGUAUGUUUCGGCCUCAUUGUAUGAUAGCAUAUUUUGAACAAUGCGAUAGUACAUUUUCAUCAUUGUGAUAGUAUAUUGUCCCCACUAUGAUUGUCUAUUUUUGACACAUUGGUAAUAGCUUUCAUUAUGCUUGGUAGUAGAUUUUGUUGCCGAAAACAUUAGCUAUUGGUUUUGUUUGGAGGUAAUAGUUUUUGUUGAUGGUGGUAGUAGUUUUUGUUGAUGGUGGUAGAAGCUUUUGUUACUUGCGGUAGCGGUAGUAGUUUUUGUUGCUGAUGACAAUAUCUUUUGUGACUUUGUCAGAGGUCAUUGGAAAUCUCACUGUAGUAACUUUUGUGGCUGGGGGUAGUAGCUUUUAUAGUUAGUGAUAGUAGCUUUUUUUGUUGGUGACAGUAACUUUUGUUCUGCUUGGUAGUAGUUUUUCAUAUGCUCGGUAGUAUCUUUUAUAAGUGGUGAUAGUAGCUUUUGUUCUAUCUUGUAGUAGUUUUUCAUUUGCUCGGUAAUAUCUUUAAUAGCUAGUUAUAGUAGCUUUUUUUGUUGGUGACAGUAGUUUUUCAUAUGCUCGGUAGUAUCUUUUAUAGCUGGUGACAAUAUCUUUUGUGACCUCCGGAGGUCAUUGAAAUCUCAACAUAGUAGUUUUUGUUAUGUUCAAUAGUAUUUUUUGUUGCUGGCAAUAGUAUCUUUUGUGACCUCGCCGGAGGUUGCCGGAAAUCACACCAUAGUAGCUUUUAUAGCCGGUGGUAGUAGCUUUUAUAGCCUGUGGUAGUAGCUUUUGUUGCUGGUGACAGUAUCUUUUGCAAUCGUCAGUAACAUUGUCGGAGGUCGGCAGGAAACUUUGUCUGCAGUCGGCUGGAAACUUUGUCGGAGAUCGGCCGGAGACCCGCCGGAGGUUGGCCGGAGAUCUCGCUUGAGGUUGGCCGGAGAUGAUAGUAGGUGUUGACUUUUUACAUUAGUGGCAUUUUUGUAAAUAUAAAAAAGAAAAUCUUUUUUUUUGUUGGAUGGCAGUCUGUAAUUAUGUUGAACUUUAAUACCUAAUACAAAACCUUAUUUAGGCUUGGGUGGACUUAUGUGAGUAAAAAUGUUGGGGUGGACCUAUGUGGGAAAAAAUGUCUCAAAAUGGACUUAUAUAUAAUUAGCCCAAAAUUAAACCUCCCCUCUUUGUAAAGGUACGUGAGUUAUUUAAUAAAAAGUUAAAAAAAAGAGAAAUUAUAAAUACACACCUCUAAUCUCUUAAUACACACCUCUAUUAUUUUAUAUUUCAGAUCAUAUUUAUAUGUAUGUUUAAUUACAAAAACAUUCAUCAAUUACUAAGGAAAAAAAGAAAGAAAAAAAAACUUCAUCUUCCCUAAAACAUAGCUCUCUUCACUAUUACUAUGCAUCAAAAGAAAAGAAAUAAAAAAACCUCUUCUCCAAAAUUCAUCACCUGAAUUUCGACUACUGUCGUAAUCACAUGUACUAUUUGCUGAUUCGUUUGAUUUUUUUUUUAUCAACUUUAGUUUUUAUCUUGCAGACUAAAAACUAGUUUUUAUGCUAUUGUAAUUCUAUAAGUUUCUUAACUUUGAAAAAAUUAUAUAUGCUCAAUAUUUUAUUUUUUUUCAAAUUCUAACUGAUUAAUGUCGUAUUAGAGAUUUGGAGUUCGAAUAUAAUAUUAUUAUUUUGAUUAUAAAUUGAAAAUAUGAAGAAAAAAAUUUCUAACCUGAUCAAAAAACUAACAGAAAAUAAAAGAGAAUACGUAAAGAGAGUUGUGAAUAGUAAAUAUAUAAUAAUUAUAUUAAAUAACAGAUUAUUAUUAGUUUUAGAUACUGAGGGUAUUUUAGGCAGUUUGAGAUGUGUAUUUAGUAUAAUAUUGAAAUGAAAAACUAGAUAGGUAGUGUAUUAAGUAAGGGGUAUGUAUUAAGAGAUUAGGGGUGUGUAUUUAAAAUUACUCUAAAAAAAAAUAAAACUUUUUUGGCUUCUGUUAUAGAUGAUAUUAAUACACUAUUUGUUUUGUUUAAUUUUAUUUAAUUAUAAAGUUACUUGCUUGAUUUACAUAUUGAACGGAGAGAAAAUAUAAGUAGGAUGAUGCCUUAAUUAUGUUGUUUAACCCUUGCAUCUUCUGAUUUGAUAUACAACUCAAAAAGCUAGUAUUAGGAUCAAGAGAAAAUCUUACGUGCGACGGCCGUGCCACGUGGACGGUGCAACUUACCAGUGGCAGGCCGACGCGUGUUUUUAUUUUUAUUUUCAACAGCUCUUCUUCUUCCUUCUGCUCUCUUCUCUGGAGAAACCGAUCUCUUCUCCGGCGAACCGAUCCCCUCUGGCGAAGCCAAUCUCUUCUGCUCUCUUCUCCAGCGAAACCGAUCCCCUCCGGCGAGCCAACGACGGGUGACAAGGAUUCGUGGCAGCGGGUUUUACACGGGUUGGUGGAGGCGUGAGGGAGGCGCGGCUUAACGGCCGGAGGUUUCUGCAAAGUUGUGGCAGGUUGGAGCGGUGAGGGGGCGGCUGGGUAGAGGGAAAGAACACGCCAGAGGGGAUCGGUUUCGCCAGAAAAGAGGAUGCAAGGAAGAAGAAGAGCUGUGAAAAAAAAAAAAACACGCGUCAGCCUGCCACUGGUCGGUCGCACUGUCCAUGUGGUACAGCCGUCGCACGUAAGAUUUUCUCUAGGAUCAAAUGAUUUUGACAAAUCAUGGUGUUGAUGCAGUGGAUUUGGCAUAUGUCUAACUUCUCUCAUGAGUCAUGAAAAAACUUGCUAGUGUAUGUACAUAUCAGCUAGUUAUCCUCUGAUUGACAAAAAAAAAGCUAGUUAUCCUCUGUCUUCACAUUUCCUACUGAAAUGUUUGUCUACCUCCAUACGCUGCUAGAUUUUGAGCAAUUCAACAGCUAAUUUGUUAUCAAAAUAAAGAUCAAGCACAUUUCUAUAAGUCAUAUCAUUCAAAACAAGCACAUUCUUUAUCCUUACAUCAAAAAGUAAAAUCAAGCACUUCAAAUGAGGCUCUUCAACAGAUAGGAUUGCAGGGAAAUACAAAAUAAAAAACUUAGAAAGAGAGGACAUUGCAGGCAAAAAGGAUACCAGAAUCUUUGUUUAACUACCGUUAUUUUUUACUUAAUAUAAAUUCAUAGAAAUCAGAUCGAUACAGAAUCAAUCUGCUCAAUCAAAUGUAAGUUACCAAAUUGCCAAUUGUAGGUCUGAAGUAACACAAUAAUCCAGCUACUCAGUACAAAAUAUGUUCAAGACUAGAUAAAUACAAUAAAUGCUCUUUUUCUUUCCUUGGAAAAAAAAAAAUUAAUGAAAAAGAAAACUAAUAGCAUGAAGAGUAAGGGCUAACUGGCUGUAUACUUUGUGCUGUGUUCAUUGAGCCAUGAUAUGAUGUCAUUGAAAACUUGAACUAUCAUUUCAUCCGGCUCACCCUCCAGAAGGGAAUGAUAUGCAUCCUCGUACAGGAUUAGCUUCUUGUUAGAACUGCUUGCUUUCUCGUAGAGCGCUUUACUUACAGAUGGAUCAGUCACAAUAUCAUCUUCUCCAUGAAGGAUUAAUAAUGGAAGAGAGACUUCUUCUAAUCGGCUUUCUAUCUCUUGGGUUGUAUGGAGCAUUUCUACAGCAGUCUGCAGGCGUGGGUUAUCCCUGUAAGCAAUAACAUUGUAGGCCGUCAGUUCCCGUUUCUUCAAGUCUUUAAAGGCUGCCUCAGCCAGAUUCUUUUGUGGAACCAACUUCUGCUUUGGAAGGAAUUUCGCAACACCAAUUAGGACUUGUGCUAGUAGCCAUGGCGGGGCCAUGUCAUCUGCAAUUCUGCACAUAGGUGCAACUAGGAUGGCACCAUUCCAUCCACUAGGUUGUUUUAGGUGAAUCUUAAGAGCUACAGCUCCGCCCAUGGACUGCCCGAAAAGAAAGCUUGGGAGAGUACUGAACUCAGGUUGCGUUUUGACUUUAGAAAAAUGCUCAAUGACAUCAUCUACGAGCCUUUCAAAGCUAGGAAUAUAACAAUGCAGACCUUCUGAAAGACCAAAUCCAGGGUAGUCCAUUGCAAAAACUCCAUAGCCAAAUGAUGCCAACUUCCUUGCGAUUCCUUCAAAGAAAAACGUGCAAGUAUCCCCAUAACCAUGACAGUAACAAAGUAUUGCUUUGGGCUGAGAUGUCUCUGGAAGCCAACUCUUGGAGAAGAUCUCCAAUCCCCUGGAGUUCACUUCAUAUGACUCUUUCAUUUUAAGUCCAUCAGUUGGUGUCUUGAAUAAUAUAUGAUCAAUUUUAAGCUGAAUGUCCUUAAAAGCUUCACGAACUCUCCUUCUGGCCGGAGCUUCAUCCAUGUUAGUAUCCAGAAGCUUCUGCAAUUUAUCAUCAACACCUGGCAACCUAACUUGGGGUGCCAUUACUUCUAUGCUCUUCUUUCUCUUUGUUGGGGAACAACACUCGGGCCUGAACUCCCUAGAACUCUUUAUUUUUUGGAGGGUUUCGAAAUUCAGUUGGUGUUUAAUCAUGACAGUUAAAAGAAUGACAAUUGUAAUCCGAAACGAGCAUUAAGCAGCAAGUCUUUCCGGGAGGAUGUAGUGAUGGAAGAAUUGGUGAUGAUGGUCAAAGUGCAGCGAGAUUACAGAGGUUGAUCUAAAACUCCUUUUGGGUCUCAAUUCCUGCGGCCUCUUUGGCUAAGCAGCUUGGGACUCAAAAUCUGCAGAAGAAAAAGAAUACAUGUAUAUAUGUGAAUGCCCAAAGAUAUAGGAAGAAAUAAACAGUGCAAGAUAUUUAACUAUUCCAGUAUAUAUAUAUGUUUUCCUAUUUGAUGCUUCAAAUGGUGCUCUUGUACAAGCAUCUACAUGUUUGCAUUAUUCUUCAAUUUUCUUAACAGUGACCAAAUUAGCCGGAGGACUACUGUAGCACAUUUCAGGGACUUUGUUUAUGGAACAAAUGUGAUUAUACACCAUAGGUAUUCCUACAGAUUGACUCAAACCAAAGAAGAUACAACUCUCAGAAAUUAAAUUCUACACUUCAAAAUCCCACUUCACAGUUUGUCCCUUACAUCAUGUAAGGCUAUCGGACAUCAAAACCUUAAGUUAUUUAGGGAACACACAAACAAUGUAUAUCGAUUCAAUAUUUUCCCUGCCAGACAAUCAAAAAUGUAAACAUAUAGGUACACAACCAUGUACCUUGCAAAUAACAAAUAAGUGGAAAAUGGAGAUGGGGAGCUGAACCCAAAACCUCCUGCAACUAUCACUUUCAGUCUUGUCUUCUUUUCUUUUAACUUUUGACUUUGACAAGAAUUGAAGUUUUAUCACCGAAAACAACACUAUAAUGAACUAGAGGACAGGACGUGCACUUUCACAGCACCAGAGAAAAGAAAAGCUCUAAUAAGCCUAAAGUAUAUAACUGUUUAAAGAACGAAUUUUCAAGGUAAUAACACAAACUUGAUAAGGAAUAGUAUCUGAAUUCCACAAUGAGUGAUUCCGACAAACCACCCCCCCCCCCCCCCCCCAACUCUAUAUUUUUAAAUUUCAAUACAUCUAUAUAACCCGGAAUUACUGCCAACAUUUCUUCAGCCCCAAAAGGGUUUUGACUUUCUUUCCUCCAUCUAAACCCCAGAACUGAAACAGUAUCCCCUGGCAUGCAAGGACUACGCUAAAGGUAUGGCCUACAGUGGAAUAUUGAACGAGCAAGCAUUUCUUUAGGAGGAACCUUGGUGUCCAAAUUUGAUUAAUAAAAUAUUUGUGAACUCAUAUUUAUUGUAAGGGUAACUGUUAAAAGACUUUCUCUAAAUGCCAAGACCCUAUCAUCUCCCCAGAAGGAAACUAGGUGCACCAUCUAGCUUUAAUGACAGAGAAGGAAACUUUCCAUUUCCAAAAUCUUUGAGAUUCCUAAAUCCCAAGUUUUGGAAAUAAGCAAAAACACCACUUAUUCCUUAUCACUCUAUGCCACAAGGAAUCUGGUUCCAAUUGAUAUCUCCACAACCACUUCCCAAGCUAGGUGUAAUAAUUAAUUUCAAUAAAGAUAUUAUUUCCAAUGUCUUUCAAGAAAGGUCUUGAGUUCUCUACAAGUUCCCAAGGAAGGCCUUAUAAACUUGUCACCAAGGGGAAGGGCCUGAACCCCCAUACUUUAAUAAACUCUGAUCUUCUUUGAAAUCAACCAGAUAUAUGUUUUGUUUAUCAAUGCAUUGAUAAUCUUAUAAUCAACAAUGUCAUAAGCUGGGAAAUUAAGUUUAUACUUGAUACUACUGAGAGUAAGUCUCUCCUUCAUUUACUGACAGUAAAUAGAAGUGGGAAAGAAACACACAUGGUUCAAUGGUUACAUAACAGCGAAGGUCAACUAUAUUGUGGGUUUCUAUGAGCUUGCAGUUCACUAUGAUAGCACCAAAUAGAAACUUUACAGUGACAACUCAGAAUAAGACAUAUUUUGACUUGAAGUAAUCACCUAGCACAAGCAUGGUAUUAGUAUACAGCUUAAACAAUAGCAUAUAUAAAAGGAAAGAAAAAAGCAAAAACAAAAAACCAUAAAAUAUGCAUUUCCUCCCAACCACAAGAAAGAAUUUACACAAUAGGCACAUACAUGUCUGAAAGUAAUGAGAAUGAUCAGUUCUGGAGAUAGACAAGUCACAAAUGGAAUACGAAAGCGAUUCAUUACCUUCUCCGUUAAUAGCCUCCUCCUUCUUUAUGAUCUGAUCUGUUGAGAGAUACUUGAACUUGGUCAAGGUCAGGCACACGAUGUUGCUCUAACUCAAUCUCCAAAUUGAUAAUGAGAAUCAAAAGCUAAAAGUAGUACAGCUCCAGGCAUCAUUCAUAAGAAAACAAAACCUAUUCGCAAUAAAAAUCAGAACAAUAAUCAUCAGAAACCAGCCUUGACAUUCAACAUAUCCCUUACUCUUGACAAGAAUCUUCUAUCUGUAAGGAGACUGAUUUCGCACAUGUUUUGCAUUCUAAACCUUAUGCUGUUUAGGCUUCUAAUCUCAGAAACGAAUAAAAAACAGAACAAAAGAAUCAAACUUGAACUCCAUCUGUCUCAUCUAACAAAACUUAUCUGGGUCCUUCAGAUUAUACUAGUUUAUGUUUGUCAUCUUCGCAAAAUUGUUUCUAGUUACUUUCAUCCUGUGAUUCAUCUAGGCUUCAAGUUAACAUCAAUAGAAUUUAUGGUCUCUUCUUUUAAAAACCAAGUCCUAAGAAAAGACUUGCGAGAUCUUAAUGUCAAAAAUCAUCUCAAUCCUUCUACUGCCAGUCAUCGUCAGUAGAAUAGUAGAAUGCAAACAACAAAUUCACAACGUUUUUUCAUGUCCCAUAAUUUCUUAGCCACCAAACAAAACCAAAUUCACAUUUAGACAACAAACCAUAACUCCGAAGAACUCUCAAAUCUGAUCAACUCAUCUAUGAGACGGGUCUUAAUAGACAUGUUCAAAGGAAAAUAAUUUCACUUCAGCUGAGUUUAACUGAUUUGAAUUAGGCUCUGUCUCAACCUAUACAAUUGAACGAGGAAAAGCUGUGAUUUGACUAUUUCUGGGGAAGGCCACAGAUUCAAGAGACCAAAUGGAAACAAAAAGGUGAUCACUUACAGAACAACCGAACAGUUUGAGUUGAUGAUCGGCGUCUGGAAUUGAAUGAAGUGAAGAAGCUUUCGGAUGUAGUUGGGUCCGAGACAAAAGCUUUCUGUUUUGCUUCUUCUUCUUCUUCUGGUUUGUUUUUAUGUUUUUGUUUUGAGCGCAAAUGCGACCAAAACAGAAAGUUUGAGCGCAUAUGUCACCAUACAAUUCGUACACCUUAAUAGAAACCAGACAAAAAUGGAACGCGCCCCACGCGCCAAGAGUUUGGCGUUCUGGGCUCUAGUCGGUGGAUUGCUUGGUGGCCGCCAUGGCCAAUUUCAUGGAUUUCAUUCCUAUCCUUGAUCUGCAUUUGGCGUUCGCGGCAUCGGAUGACGAAUCUCACAGCUUGCUAUUGGUCUUCUCCUGCACCCUUGGAAUGGGUGACCCUGGUGUUUCAAAACUUAGUGUCUUUCGCUUUGUGUUCUUACGGCAACGAGUACGUAUUUCCUACUAUUAGACCUUUGCUCUUUCAACUUAUUUGCUAUUACAUCUUUGCAUGUUGCAGUUUACAAAAGGUAAGUGGGGUUUCUGCUUAUUUACUAGACCCUUCAAAUCGUAAUCUUAAUCUCGUGGAAACAAUGGUGAGUGUUGUUACGGGUUGUCUUGAUCUCCAGUGAUAUGUGAUUGGUGACUGUUUUCUAGAAAUCGUGCUUGAUAAGCUGUCUGGGGGUUUCAAUUGGAACCCAAUUAAGAGGACUAUGAACUUGCCAGGUGUUUUGAUUAAAGCUCUAGGAAUUGCUGUUGACCACAGCUCUCAGUCUAAUAAUAAUCUUAUUUCAUGAAGAUUUGUACUUGGAAUAGCCGGGGAAGUUCCUGGUCAAACAAAUUUCUAUGCCUCUAUUUUAGAUAUUGAUGUCCUCUGUAUCUUGGAUACUAGGGCCUCUACAGGUAUAAUUAUUAAGACCAUGAAACUUCCUUUUGAUACUCAAUAUGUUAUUCCUGCAAGAGGGCAAUGUGGUGGCCUCCUUUUACUCUGGAAAUCUAGGAUGGUUAACAUUGAUAUUAUCAUGCCUCAUGAUCGUUUUAUUCAUUGCAUGAUCACUGAGAUUGCUACCAACAAUUCCUUGUAUACUACCUUUGUGUAUAUUUUUCCUCAAAAGGAAAAACAAACAGGUCUUUGGAAUGAAAUUCUAGCCAUGAAGCCUGUGAAUGAUGAACCCUGGUUAAUUAUGGGUGAUUUUAAUAACAUUAUUAGUCUCAAUGAAAAAUCUGGUGCUAACCAGUCGGUUACGAACCACAUGAUUAAUUUUACAGUUUUCCUAAAUAAAAUGUUUGUUCUUUAGAUGCCUCUGGUGUUCCUUUUACUUGGUCAAAUUGUCAUAAGGACAAUACAAUUAUUUAUGAAAGAUUGGACCGAGUGCAAAUGCAGGUUUGAUUAAUCUGUUUCCGGAUAUGACUUUAGUUAAUUAUCCCAUCAAUUCUUCUGAUCAUGGUCCAAUUUGCCUAAAUCUUUAUUCAAGGUCCUGAAAUUUUCAUAAACCCUUCAGGUUUGAGGCUAUGUGGUUAUCCCACAAUGAUUUCAAGAGGUUAACGACUGAAAUUUGGGUCAGAACCUUGACAGUGACCCUUUAAAGAACUUUUUGGCGAUUUCUAGUAGUUAUGCCAAGGUUUUGAAAACUUGGAAUAAAAAUGUUUUUGGAGACUUGUUCAAAAAACUUAAGGAUCUUCAAGAAGAGAGUAGUUUGAUUCAACAACAACUUAUGAACUCUCCUUUUUCUGUUGUUUUGCAGGAGAAAAAUGCUAAAGUUAAAUCACGAAUUGCUUAAGAUGUACAGUGAUGAGGAACUUUACUGGGCUCAAAAAGCAAGAGCUAAUUGGCUUAGCUUGGGAGAUAAAAAUACUAUAUUCUUUCAGACUCGAGCUAAUAUAAGGAAGAAAAAGACUUUUGUUACAAAAGUUAAAGAUGAGUCUGGUGUUUGGUUAAAUAGUCAAGAACAUAUUGCUAAAUAUUUUGUGCAUAACUUUAAAAGGAGAUUCUCCUUAGAUCUUUGUCCGAAUAUGAACUCUAUGAUGACUUUUUUGGAUUGUUUGUCUCCUGGUAUCUCUACUGAUGAUAACUCCUUGCUUACUCAACAGGUGAAUGACACUGAAAUUUUGGAAGCUUUAAAUUCAAUUGGCCCCUUGAAAGCACCUGGACGGCUGGACCGGAUGGACUACAUGCCAUAUUCUACCAAAAGUGCUGGACUGAGGUAAAAAGCUGCAUCAUUCCUUUGAUUAAAGGUUUCUUCCAGCAUGGUCUGAACAUUGAGCUGUUAAAUCAUACCAAUAUUGCUUUGAUUCCUAAAAAAGAUAAUCCUGAAACUGCGGCUGAUUUUAGACCUACUAGCUUGUGUAAUGUUUGUUACAAGAUCAUUACCAAAAUUUUAGUUAAGAGACUUAGACCUCUUCUGGAAAAGUGUAUUUCUAAAAACCAAGGUGCCUUUGCACCAGGAAGAUCCAUUCAGGAUAACAUUUAAAUUGCUCAUGAGUUGUUCUCAGACUUUCAGCGAAAAAAAGGGAACUUAGGUGCAAUGGCAGUCAAACUUGACCUUGAGAAAGCUUAUGAUUUCUUAAAUUGGAAUUAUAUCGAGGCUUGUCUCCAUAAAUUUGGGUUCAAUACACAUUGGAUUUCUCUGAUAACGAAAUGUAUCACUACUGCUUCUUUUUCUAUAUUGGUUAAUGGCAAGUCUGAAGAUUGGUUUAAACCUUCAAGAGGAAUCAGACAAGGUGAUCCCUUAUCCCCUUGUAUCUUUAUCUUAGCUAUGGAACCCCUCAUUCGACACCUAAAUAGUUUAUCAACCAGAAGUAAAACCCAUGUUGGUAUGCUUUCUUCCUGGCUAGGUUUUAGGAUUUCAAACCUAAUGUUUGCUGAUGACUGCCUUAUUUUUGGGAAAGCUUCUCCCAAAGCCGCUAGAAAUAUUCUUACUGUUUUGAAUAAUUUCUCUGCUGCCUCUGGUCAGAAAAUAAACUUUGACAAGUCUUCUUUGUAUUUCUCUCCAAAGGUCAGUAAUGUGACCAAGGUUAAUAUAGUUAGUAUAUUAGCUAUACAACAGAAAGCUACCGUAGGCAAGUAUCUUGGCAUUCACAAUGUGAUUUUCUGGAAAGACCCUUCAAAUGCAAAGGAACUUAUGCUCAGAAUUUCAAAAAAGUUAGCAGGUUGGAAAAAAGGUACUCUUUCUAGAGCAGGCAGAUCGACUCUUAUUAAAUCUAAUUUGUCGGGCAUGCCUAUUAAUGUUAUAUCUUGUUUUAAAUGCUCUCCUAAAAUUACAAAUGCUAUUGAUAAGGAAGCUAGAAAUUUUUUCUGGAAUUGCAAUGGGAGUCCUCCUGUGGCUUGGAGCCAAAUUUGCUGCCCUAAACAUGUGGGUGGACUUGGCAUUAGACCAAGUGCUUACUUUAAUAAUGCUGCUAUUGCCAAACUUGGCUGGAAAAUUAGUAAGGAACCAGAAAAUUGGUGGGCUCAGAUUAUGAGGAAAAAAUAUUUGAGAAAGGUGAAUUUCUUUCAAGCAAAAAAGAAGCAAGCUAGCUCUUUGGCUUGGAAGGGAAUCCUUGAUUGCAGAGAUCUUCUUACUCAAGGGUUGAGAUGGACUGUUGGCAAUGGAAGAAGUAUCAACUUCUGGACCUUAAAUUGGGUUUUCCCUUUUCCUCUAAGUAAUCUUCUCAAUGAUAGUCAAAAAGCUAGUAUUUCUGUUGCCGAUUUUAUGACUAACAAGUGUUGGAAUAAGCAAAAACUCUUGCAGGUACUAGAUCAUAGCAUUGUAAACUAGAUAUUGGGCAUUCCUAUUCCUGUGUGUGAUCCGGAAGAUGAACUUAUUUGGGGACCCUCUUCUAAUGGAAAUUUCUCAAUCAAAACAGCAACUUGGUUACAAGGUAAGGAUCAAAAUGUUCAUGCUAAUGCAGAUCUUUUAAGGAAAAUGUGGUGAUCGAUUAUUCCACCAAAAGUAAAAAUAUUUAGUUGGCUUCUCUUAAGAGGCAGAUUGAAAACUAAGGAUAGACUUUCAAGGUUCAGCUACAUCAAUAAUAAUUCUUGUCCGCUUUGCAAUAACGAUAAUGAAACUGCUGAUCAUAUUUUUGGUUGUUGUGUUUUCUCACAAGAUGUCUGGAGAAUUGCAGGCAUUGAUAAUCUAGUUGACUAGAGCAAUGGAAUUUUGCAUAAUAUGAGAAGCCUUUCUGGCAAUAAUCCCUAUGAUAAAGAUUUAUUUGCCAAACUUCUUCUUUGUUGGCAAAUAUGGAAAAGAAGAAAUGAUUGCGUUUUUAGAAACUUAACUCCCAAGUCUUUUGAUACAGUUCAAGUGGCUCUUCAUUACUUACAUUCCUACAGGAACCAUAAUUCGGGGCUUGUUGGAUUUUCUACUCAAAACCCUCUUGCCAUAAUUAAAUGGCAUCCACCACCCCCGAAUUUUUGCAAAUUAAACUUUGAUGGCUCUGUUAACCAUAUGAACUCGGCUGCUACUGGCUUUAUUAUCAUAGAUGAUAAAGGUCAGUUUGUAGUUGCCGGUGUGAAAAGAGUUGGUUCCUCAAGUAUUCCAACAGUUGAAGUUGCUCCUUUAAGAGAAGGACUUCUAAAAAGCAAGAGAGAAGCACAUCAAGAAGGUAAAUGGUAGAAGGAGACUCAAAGUUGGUGAUUGACUGCAUUAAUGGCACUUGUGCUACCCUUUGGAGACUCAAGACAAUGGUAGAAAACAUUAAGCAAAUAUGCGAAUGUUUUGAGAGCUGCUAUUUUCAACAUGUUUUUCGAGAAGCUAACUUCCCGGUGGAUGCCUUUGCAAACUUGGGUACAUAAGUAACAUGGAUAUUGACUUGGAAGGAUCUUGUCCUCUUCAAAUUAGAAAUGCUUUAUUGUUUGACCGUUUAGGGUCAUGUUGUACUCGAGGUUCUAUUUUGUAAUUUACUUUUCGUAUCAAAAACAACAAAAAAACAAUUCAUACACCUUAUAUUCAACUCUAGGUUUUUUUUUUUUAUUAUCAUUAAAUAAAGAAUAAGAGAGAUAAGUCAUCCUUGACAUAUCAUCACGAGUAAGACUAAUUCUUAGUAAAGUUUCGAAAAUUCUUCUAUACACCAUAGUAUACAUGCACGGUUUCAGCAACAUUUAUCAAGUAAUUUGUGUUCUUGAUUUUUAUAGUAAACAUCUUUAGUAGUCUUCUUGAUGUUAUCUAUUGGUGUUUGAUAAAGCAAGUAUUAUUGUUGCAGCAACAUGGCUUCUAAAGUAUUAUUCUUACUUUAUCAAUCACUGUAGCACUACAGCAUAGCUUAGCAGCAUGUUGUAUAUGAAUUUGUCCUACUGUUCUCAAUUUUUGUUGGAUUCAAAUAGUGCCUUGAAUCCUCUAUAAAUACAUCAAUCUAAAUCAACAUACAUGUGAGACAAAAAGAGAGAAACCCCCUCAAACCCUAGCGUUGCUGCGAUCAACUUUCUCCUCUCUCAUUCAUAAUCGCUAUUAUGUCCUCCAUUGACACCGUCACAGCGUCCUUCGCCGCCUCCUUGGCUUUGGCUAACGGUGGAAAAGUGCCAGAUUUGGGGAAGAUAGGAGGAGGUCCUGUGAGACAUUCAUCCCAAUCUUUUCUUCUUGCUAAGCCACUCACGUUGUGUUGUGGAUCCAGAAGAUUCAAGUCGCACUUUGGCCGUGCUUGGGUGGUGCAGUGGAAUUUCUGAAUUCAGGAGAGCGUGAUCUCCUCCUCGUCUCCUUCGAAUCUGAGAAGGAUCGAAAAAAAGUUCUAAAGGGUGGCGCAUGGUGCUUUGACCACGUACGUGUUUGUCUUGAGGUGUAUGAUGGGAUUACUCCUAUGGCCGACGUUCUUAUACGUCAUGUGAGGAUGUGGGUGAUCGUCUCUUUGAUCCCCCCUCGGUACGAGGAGUGUGAUAACCUUCGUUUGAUUGGUAACCUUCUUGGAGGAUACUUGGAUUAUGAUCAUACAAUUCAAAAGGGAGUGAUGAAGAUCUUGUUUACCCACGACAUCUAUAAACCAGUUCUUUUAGAGAGGCAGGUUCAUCUGGAUCUAAGGGUGGAGCCGAUGUUAAAGUUUGAUUUUGUACAUCUUCUGGGUAGAUGUUAUGUCUGCAAUAUGAUCACACGUGCUGGAGAAAAGUGUGAUGGAACUCAUACCAUCUUAGGUACAUCCAAAGGCAUUAAUUUUGGUGCUCAGCCAAAACUAGGUUAUGCCUUUUUGGCAAAGCCCAUCGCUGGUGUGGCUAUCAAUCCAGCGCCGGUGGUUUCCUCAUCUUUGGUAGUGAAGAGAAAGCAUGUGGUACAUUGACUGGAGCAUACUGAAGCAUCAGAAAUUGAUGAAUCUGGUCUUCGACGUAUGGGCUCUUCUUCGGGGUCUGGUAACUCUACUCUUGAGAAUGAGGUUGCCUCCGAAUUAGAGACAUCUCCUAUUGUGUUAGAAGCUGUUGUUGGGAAAGAUGUGGUAUUUUCUACUACUCCCUCAAAGAAAUGAGGACGUAGUGGGGGUUGCUUUCCCUUCCCAAAGAAAAUCAUCAAGGCUAUUCUGGGCGGUAAACUUAUCAAACUACAAAUUGAAUCUUUAGGUUUGGUCGACACAAGUGGGAAUGAUGAGCCUCUUGUGACCCUGAAGAAGAAGUUGGGUGGUCGUCUGGGUAGCAGGAAUAAGGAAUCUCGGUCUACCAAAAAGACAGAGGCUCCUCUGCAUAUUACUUACCUGAUUGCUGCCAAGGUGGGUGACAAGGCAAGCCCUAAUGCCAAGGGCAAGGGCAAGACUUAGAAUUUGGGUUGCCCUUAGCCCGAGCAUCAGAGGUAGAUUUACUACUUAUUUCUUAAGCUUAUUAUGUCUAUAUUAAUUGAGGUCUUAGGCAGCUAAUAUUCUGUUCGAAGGACUUAGGUAGUCAGUUUUAAUUCUUUUGCUUCAGGCUCUCUUUGAGCCUAUGUGUAAUCAGUAAAGGUACCUAUCUUGGUGCUUGUAAGCCUCCCUUAACAUACUCUGUGGAUGAUGACAUUUUGAUGUAUGUGCAUUUUGGCCAUUGAUUAAGCAAUAUAAUUUAUCCUUUUUUUACAAAAAAAAAAACAACAUACAUGUGAGACCUGUAAGUUUAAUGAACUAGCUUAGGAAAUUACCCUUAAGUCAAAACUGCACAUUCCCUUUUUCUCUUAUUCUAUCUAAUAUAUUUCUUCAACUUCAUUGACAAAAAAGGUUAGCUUGAGUCUCUUUUAUUUAUUCCAAAUGUCAGUUCAAACAAGGAGUCAAGGACUUAUAUAUCCUAUUAGAAAUCACAUUAUGGGGCAGAACCUGACUAGCUAUAACGUGGUUGUGAACGCAGCUUAUAAGCUGUUCCAAGACUAUCUGAAUUCCAAGAAAGGGCGACAUGGUGCUUCAAGUGAUUCAAAAGAAUCAGGGGGAAAUAUAACAAAGAAGAACCUGAAGAGAAUACAAGGGGAAAACAACAGAUCAUUGGGCCUUUUGCUACCAUUGUGGAGAAGUUGGACAUGUCAAAACAAAGUGUCCUCAUAGAGAAGUUUCUGGAUCAGUAGCUACGCAUCAAAACUGACCACCAAGGCCUGCAAAACAGUGAGACAACACAGCAGAAUAUGCAACAACCACAAAGAGGAACUUUUCGCACGGCAAAUAAGGGAAAUCGUUGCCGCGGCGCUGGACAUGGCCAAUAUUACUCGUGGAGGAAGAGUCUUUGCAGUGACAAGACACAAGGAAGAAGAUCCAAAUAUUACACUUGAGGUACUAAUCUUUUAUCUCUUGAAACUAGUCUUAAUAGAUACUGGUGCAUCACACUCCUUUAUUUCAACUUACUUUGCUGAAUUAAAUCUAGAAUCUCAAAUAUUAGCUGAACCCUUGCAUCUAAAAACACCCUUAGGGGAGGGAGCACUAGUGGUAAUGAAUUGGUUGCGAGUACAUCGUUCCCUAAUUGAUUGUGAUAGAAGAGAAAGAGUAAAACCAUCAGAAGGAGGAGACUUAGUUAUAUGACUUGAUGAGUCUGUUAUAUUGAAGCAUUGCUUUUAGAAUAAGAGUGUUGUUGUGUUAUGGUCUUGGAAAAAUUUCAGUUUACUACCCUGAACUUUAGGUUUAAAAUCAGUCUGAUACCUCAUCUUUUUUUAAUCAGUUUCAUACCUAAACUUUUAAAAUGACAUCAAUCUCGACCAAAAUNNNNNNNNNNNNNNNNNNNNNNNNNNNNNNNNNNNNNNNNNNNNNNNNNNNNNNNNNNNNNNNNNNNNNNNNNNNNNNNNNNNNNNNNNNNNNNNNNNNNNNNNNNNNNNNNNNNNNNNNNNNNNNNNNNNNNNNNNNNNNNNNNNNNNNNNNNNNNNNNNNNNNNNNNNNNNNNNNNNNNNNNNNNNNNNNNNNNNNNNNNNNNNNNNNNNNNNNNNNNNNNNNNNNNNNNNNNNNNNNNNNNNNNNNNNNNNNNNNNNNNNNNNNNNNNNNNNNNNNNNNNNNNNNNNNNNNNNNNNNNNNNNNNNNNNNNNNNNNNNNNNNNNNNNNNNNNNNNNNNNNNNNNNNNNNNNNNNNNNNNNNNNNNNNNNNNNNNNNNNNNNNNNNNNNNNNNNNNNNNNNNNNNNNNNNNNNNNNNNNNNNNNNNNNNNNNNNNNNNNNNNNNNNNNNNNNNNNNNNNNNNNNNNNNNNNNNNNNNNNNNNNNNNNNNNNNNNNNNNNNNNNNNNNNNNNNNNNNNNNNNNNNNNNNNNNNNNNNNNNNNNNNNNNNNNNNNNNNNNNNNNNNNNNNNNNNNNNNNNNNNNNNNNNNNNNNNNNNNNNNNNNNNNNNNNNNNNNNNNNNNNNNNNNNNNNNNNNNNNNNNNNNNNNNNNNNNNNNNNNAGAGAGAGAGAGAGAGAGUAAAAAGAUUAAUCAGGGCUAUUUUAGUCAUUUUGGUCGAGAUUGAUGUCAUUUUGAAAGUUUAGGUAUGAAACUGAUUAAAGAAAAAAGAUGAGGUAUCAGACUGAUUUUAGACCUAAAGUUUAGGGUAGUAAACUGAAAUUUUUCCUAUGGUCUUUUAUUAACAGCCAUAGAGACAUCAAAUUGUGUUCAAAAACCUAUUCUAGUGGUAGAUGAAUACCCUGAUGUAUUUUCAGAAGACUUGUUUGGAGUACCUCUUGAAAGGGAAGUAAAGUUUCACAUUGAUCUUGGUACCUCGAACCACACAAAUAUCAAUGCCUGCUUACGAAUGGCUUUAACAGAAUUAAGAGAGCUCAGAGCACAACUAGAUGAUUUAGAGAAGAAGGGUUUCAUCCGUACAAGUAGUUCACCUUGGGGAGCACCUGUUUUGUUUGCUAGGAAGCAUGAUGGAACAUUGAGGCUAUGUGUGGAUUAUCAAAGGUUGAACAAGGUUACCAUAAAGAACAAGUAUCCAUUACCACAGAUUGAUGAAUUAUUUGACCAACUUUCUAGGGCCAAGUACUUCUCCAAGAUCGACAUGAAAUCAGACUACCAUUAGCUACAAGUUAGAGAAGAGAAUAUUCCUAAGACUACAUUUCAAACACGGUACAAGCAUUUUGGAAUUUGUUGUCAUGCUGUUUGGAAUGACCAAUGCAGCUACAUCAUUCAUAGACCCCAAUGCACCUGCAUCAUUCAUAGACCUCAUGAACUGAAUUUUUCAACCGUACUUAGACCAUUUUGUGAUCGUUUUCAUUGAUGACAUCCUAAUGUAUUCUAAGAUGGCAGAGGAGCAUGAUGAGCAUCUGCGAAUUGUUCUGCAAAAACGUUGCUGGAGAUCCAAUUGUAUGUUAAGAAAUCAAAGUGUGAAUUUUGGUUGUCUGAAGUACGAUUUCUUAGGCAUGUCAUAUCUAGUGAUGGUACAUAUGAUCCUAGUAAGGUGGAGAUAGUUCUAAACUGGAAACGACCAAAGAAUGUCUCUGAGAAGAUAAGUUUCCUUCGAUUAGUCGGAUAUUACCGACGCUUCAUCAACAAUUUUUCUAAGAUUGCUUCUCCAUUGAUUCGUUUAAAUCGAAAAGGAGUAAAAUUCGAGUGAAACGAUAAAUGUGAGUUAGCAUUUGAGGAACUCAAAAAAAGACUGACAACUGCUCCAUUACUUAUCCUACCUAACAAUGAAGAUCCAUUUGAGAUAUACACUAAUGCUUCAGCUCAAGGACUUAGGUCUGUGUUGAUGCAAAAUGGAAGAGUGGCAACCUAUGGUUCCAGACAACUCAAGACACGUACAUGAAGUGAACUAUCCUACAUAUCAUUUGAAGUUGGCCGUAGUUUUUCAUGCAUUGAAAAUUUGGAGGUGUUCUUUGUACGGGAGUCAGCUCACUGUCUUUUGUGAUCAUAAAAGCUUGAAAUAUAUCUUCACUGAACGAGAUUUGAACCUGAGGCUGAGGCGAUGGAUGGAAUACUAGAAGGAUUAUGACUUCGACUUUGUUGGGUUUCCAACCCAUGUGUUUUUUCUAAGGUGUUUCGUCUUAGAGUAUGGUGUUCCAAUAAGGAAAUGAUAUACUUAUUGAUGAUGGUGUACCUGUAAUCUUGUUGAUUACAGAGAAGGAAGGAGGCAUUAUUGCCUACCACUAAUAGGAUUGAAUUUCCUAUUUGGUGAAGAGAUCUGAUAUCCUUAUGGCUAUAUAAAGAGAGGUUCAGUUCUAGGUUUUGUAUCGCAGAGACAAAGACUAAAGUGUGUUCCAUUCUCGGUUAGAGGGUGAGAGAGGGCAAAGAGGAGAGAGAUAGGAAGGUAAGAGAGAGUCAUUGUUUUCUUAUACUUUCUGGUGUACCCAUUAUUAAUAGUGGAGAGUGUUUUCUGCCGGUGGAUGUAGGCAAAAGUUUUGCUGAACUACCUUAUAUCUGUGUUCUUUGUGUCUUAUCUCUGUGGUUGUUUCUUUUGGUUUGCUGUGCUUGUUUGGGUUCCUUGACAUACAUAAUUGGCCGAUAUCACAACAGACUUGCAUUAUCAUCUUGGAUUAUGACUUUGACUCAUUUUAUGACCUCAAUUUCUUGUAAUGUUUAGUUAAAAGAACUAAAAACGAUAUUUUUUGAAUUAUCGCAUUUCGAAUUUGAAUUUUUUUAGUCAAAAUUCGGACGUGACACGACCACCCUUUGAUAGAGUCGCAUACACCAACGGCAGGGUUGAUACCACAAGCCGACCCGAAAAUCUACCAAGAAAUCCUCGAAUCCCUGUUCACGAUAAAAAAAAAUUAAAAAACUGCCAUCUCUACCGCUUUUGCAUUUGCAAGCCGGAACGACAAGUCAACGAUGAGGACAAGAUCUCCAUUGCCGUCGACGGCCGACCUCUACGUCUCUCAAGAGUCAAGAGAGAGACGAAACAUUACUUGGGAGAUAAAAUGAGAACAUUUGAUAUGUUUUUGGUUUUUAAUUUGGGGAAGCGAUGGACUACGCCGUAGUACAGUACGUCAUGAGUGGGAACAAACACGUGUCGACUUUUCAUCGACGGAGACAAAAUUUGAGGAACAUCGAUGGGAUUUCUCAGAUGACGGUCGUUCCCUUCGUCAUCGACGCCGUCUGGUUAAAAGCGAAGGGCUUUUAUGGAAUCCGGUGAGGUGAGAAGGGGGAGGUAAAUAUGACGUUCACGGGAGAUCUACACUGAGCAGCCACGUCUCCUGUUGAGAGGGUGAAUUAGCGGCAAGUAAAACAUCCUGCACAAUUAGGCAGAGAUGUUCAAAACUUUUGAAAUCGAUUUACUGAAGAACGGGUUGAAGGUGGAGUAAAGCGUGGUGCACAUUUUCGGAUACGAAAAAGGCGUUUUUGCUCACGAGCUUGAAAUCGAUGAAUGCAACCAGAUUCUGCGCAUCCCUCUGGGGGCAAGAGUUCUAAUCCAGAUUAGUUACAGUUCAUGUUUUUGAGAUUUGAUUAACAGCCGAGAGCUUCUUCUUCGGGACAUCCGAUAAAAGUGGAACGAUACAGAGAAGAUUAGCAUGGCCUAAGAGGUGCUCAUUGUAUGCAUUUGUCAAACUGAAAAGGAUGCUCACCACCUGUUUGAUGAAAUGCGUGUGAGAACCUCUCCCCUUUAGCUUUACUUGAACUGAAUAUUCUUUACCAUUUUGUGCAGAGAUUAACUUUUUGUGUUUUUUUUUUUUUUAAGUCGCAUUUGACUGACUUACUUGAACAUAAUUAUUAGUUGGGUUUAAAACUUGUUGAAUUUGUAAUGAAUCUACUGUAAGUACUUGGUAUUGAAUAAUCACAUGUAAUGGCUGACUAGUUUAAUGGAGGAAGGAUUCACUUGGGGUCUUGAAUGCUGCAGAGGCAAUCAGCUUAGAAAGUAAAUCCCUUUCUGCAGAUAUAUGUUAAUGGAGGGAAGGACAGCACAAAAAUUGGAGCUCCCACAGAUUUGGAGCUCUGUAUAACAGUUGGCCAAUCAUUAGAGCUCUGUAUUCCCACACUCCCACAUCCUUUAUCUGAUAUAUAGCAGACAAGAGGAGGACUCCCACAGAUCUCACUCCAUUUGCAAAAAAAAUUAUGUUGAAAGAUAAGGCAGUGCUAUGAUAAGAUGCUGCAAAAUGCUGAAACAGAUAAGUGAUGAUAGGUCUAUCGUAUGGUACAUGAAUUGAAUAGUUGAAUGAGGGACACUGGCUUGUGAGAAAUUUUGAAAUCACUAGGGUUUGUCUUGCUAUUCUCAUAAGUUAUUGUCGUCCCAUAGCUUUCACCUAUAUAUGCUACUGUGGAAACCACGUCCUCCUUUCGAAACAUGCAUUUCCUUACCAAAAUUCGUACAUAACAAACAAGAAAGUGACAUCAAUGCUGUCACUUUCUAAGAAACAAUCAGAGGCAUGCAUUAGAAAUCUAGGUCUGUUUAAUACUUAUAAUCAAUGAUGUUGCCAACCAGAACUGGUGGUGUUACUUGUGUAUGUUAUGUGAAUAGGAAUUGUGAGCACCAAUUGUUUGAUGAAAUGAGUUUGAGAAUCUCUGAUAAUUGUUUCCAUCAUGCUUAUUUGAAUUGAACAGUCUGCAUUACAUGUAGUUUUGUGUUUCCGUUUACCGAUUUUUCUUUGCAUCUGACUGAGCUAAAUGAACAUUGUUAUUAGUUUCACAAUGGUUAAUGUCAUUGUAUUGAACUUGGCAAUAUACUCAUACUUGCAACUAUAAGCAGAACUGUUUAUUUGGGUUUGAAUGUAAUGCAAACAUGUUAUAUACUUAUAUGUGAGUAUACACGUUUCCGUAAUGCAAACAAGUUUGGUUUUGAAUGCUGCAGUGCCAAUCAGGCCAACAACUUGAAAUUCCUUUCUGCAGAUAUAUUUUGCUGAGUAAGGAUCCCUCUCAUUAAUUUUGGAUGACUGAGUGUCAGAAUGGUACAGCACAACUCAUGGUUUAGAGUUAUAGACUGUAAGCCACUACACUUUGUUGUUAGAAUGAACUGCCAUUCAAUAAAUAAUAAUAAUGGCUUGCGGUUUUCGCUGUCGUUCAUUUUGAUAGAAAGAAGUAUACGAAUUGUUGAAGAAUAUAAAGUUGUACGUAGUAGUGGAAGAGAAUAGGGUGAAUUCAAUUCCUUGUCAGCUUUUGGGAUUCUUUGUGUUUCUUGAAUUCAUCUUGAUUGGAAGGUAUGCUGCUAUCUAAGGUUACAGCCACAAUCAUGGUGGUUUUUGUUUUUGAAGGCUUGGUGAGGACAUAGCACAGAAGCGCCUUUGGGGACUGCUAUGACCUAGCACAGUACUUUGAUGAAUUAUUGAUAUCGACUUCUUGCUUAUGUAGUUGUGUCUUAACAUAAUGCAAAUCAUUUAACCAUAGUUCUGUAAAAGUCUGGUGGUAUUUCACUAAGAGCCUGAUAUUUGACAUGUCACUAUAAGAAUGAUAUGAAAAAUUCUAUGCAUAUUAUGGUCUUAUUUACUAUUAAGAAGGAUACAUAGUCAUUAAAAAUCAUUCUUAUCGUUAGAAAAUAAUUUACAAAUUGAUAAGUCAUAAUUGUGGUUUUGGGUUGCUGCAUUGUCAUGCGGAAUAAAGUUGAAUACCAGUAAUUUUCACAGUAGUGUAUCCCCAUUUGAAUUGGUCAUUCUCUCAUAAUAAACUUGCGGCUAUUCAAAGAUUUUGAUAUUGAAAUGCUGUUUUAAUUUAAGUAUUAAGAGAUUAGAGGAUUUAUACAUCAAGCCUUGAUGACUAAGUGUAUAAAACUAUAAAUCCAAGUCCUCGACAUAUACCUUUCACUUGACCUUUAGAGUCAUUGCUUAAUAUUCUACAAUAUGGGAUAGACUGAAGCAUUAUCAAUAAGAUCCCAUAAGGUGCAUAUAGCAUGCAUCAUCGACAAUGCAAUCUUUCUAUUCGGCUGAAACAUUCCUCAUCAGUUCAGUCUACAUACUGCCUGUUGAGCAAAACAAUAACCAUUAUCAUAAGAACCCAACAUAUCAGUUCAAUUAAUCUGCAACUCUGCAAGAAUAAAAUAUGAACCCUAAACAUUGAAGAUUAAUAUAUAAUGAGAAUUUCAUGAAGUUCAAUCAAUAUGUUAGCAACUUACCAUCCAGUUGCAGCAUCCAAGAUCAAAUGGCAUUAAUAGAUAAACAAAAGUAGCAAUCCCAGAUGAUAUGUUUAUCGAGGACCAGGAUUCGAAAUAUAAAAUUAGUUAGGCAUAUGUGCAAUCUAAGAUGCAAAAUGAUAAACCAAACAAAGAAACAUAUACGCAUGCAACAGUUUAGUAUUCCACAGGUAAACCGUUGAUGAGGGCGGGCGAUCAGUGGGGCAAUUCUAACCAAUUAGAAAAAAAAUGAACCUGAAGCGGACUGUUUGGGUUUCCGGCGAUGGCUACCAGAUUAGAUUCGACUCUGAGUCUGACCUCCUCGCAAUGAGCUUCGAACUGUAUCGAAAUAGUUGACGGAAGCUUGAGACGCGGGAUCGAUCUCGGGCCAAGUCUCUUUUCUAUCCCUUAGAAUAGCAGUGAAAUCAGCCAGUUACCGUGACGACCAAAAAUUACACAACUGCCCAAAAUAAGAACGAAGGAGAUAAAAUGAUGAAUAGAUUGAUGAUUCACACCACCACCAAAACACCUUAUCAAAAAAAUGGAAAAACAAAAGACGAUGCGUCUCUCCACGUGACGACCACACCUCUUAAACCCCCUCGUACUGUUGGCCCGCAAUCAAACAAACCUCAACACGCAAAACUAGACACAUCAAACAAAGCAACGCAUAAAACCCUGAAACCCCCCAUACCAGACCAGAGAGAUUCUCAUUUGACCAACCUUCCCUUCCAAGUCUCACUUACCCCAAAAUUCCCCUUCCGUUUCCUCUCAACAAAAACCAACCCACAAAAUCCAGAGAAACUUAGAUUCAAUAGAGGAAGGGAGAUGGGUGGGAUUUCCAAGGAGGCUCAGCUGUCCAUCGCCGCCUCUUCGAUGUUUCCGGGGUUUAGAUUCUCACCGACAGACGAGGAGUUGAUUUCGUACUACCUUAAGAAUAAGUUGGAGUCCCCCGAGAAGAGCGUCGAGGUUAUUUCUGAGGUUGAUAUCUGCAACUUCGAGCCAUGGGACUUACCAGGUUUGUUUUUUCCAUUUUUGUUCUGCAUGUCUCAGUUUUGCUUUGGACUUUUUGAUUUGUUUGGGAAUUGGGUUUUUGUUUCUGUAAUUAUAGUGAUUGAUUUUCUUUGAACAAUAAGUUGGCUUGUGUUUUUUAUGUCUCUGAGUUGAGAGUUGAGAAGGACAGCUUUGAGUUGAGUAAAUUCAGUCUAUUUGGAAGCCGAUAAGGACAGAAACUUUAUUUAGUAUGAGAUGACCACGAGAGAGCCAAAUUUUACCACUACACAGUCCUUUGCAGUUGUAUUUUUUCAGUUGACUAGUUGAUGGGAACAUUUUAGGCACAUCCAUUUUGGGCAUUAUUUACAAAACCAAGUGUGAGAGUUCCACUAUAAUGUAACGCUGCGCUAAUGUUUAGGAGAUUGUAUAUAAGAGUCUCUAAAAUGAUCCAGUAGAAAAAAUAUUAUUUGCAAUUACGGAGUAGCAUGGUGGGUCUGUUUGGUUGCGACAGUCAACAGAGUAAAUUUUGGGGAAGCUCACUUUAAUAUGUUGUGUGUUUGUGCGUGUAAACUUAUGUUAAUUGUAUCUGAUGUAGAUUUUUCUAUUGUAGUUUGAGUCUGCGAAAUAAAUAAUUGUACGUCUGAUUUAUGUUUGAUUGAUACUGGGGUUUUUUGUAGCUAAGUCUGUCAUUCAAUCAGAGAAUGAGUGGUUCUUCUUUUCUCCACGGGGCAAAAAGUAUCCAAAUGGUUCACAGAGCAGAAGAGCAACUGAAUCUGGUUAUUGGAAAGCCACAGGCAAAGAGCGUAAUGUAAAGUCAAGUUCUAAUGUUAUCGGUACCAAGAGGACACUUGUGUUCCACAUCGGACGUGCACCGAAAGGUGAAAGGACUGAAUGGAUUAUGCAUGAAUAUUGCAUGCUGAAUGAUAAAUCACAGGUGAAUUUUUCAUUAGUCAAAAACUCAAAAUAAAAUCAGUUAGUUAUUUGAUUUUAACCACCCACAGAAAGUUGGUAUGCGUUGCACACAAGUCAUGAGUGUAUUACUUAUUUAUUUUCUGAACUGGUUGUAUCCGCAGGAUUCUAUUGUUGUUUGCCGUCUCAGGAAGAACAGUGAGUUCCGUCUGAAUGACACCACAAACCGAGGUUCCUCAAGUCAAAGUCCUUUAUCAGCUCAGCAUAAUAGUGAAAAUGUUGUAUCCGAAAUUGGUACUGAUCAAGGGGAGAAGGCAAUUGACUGCAACUCGAAGAAAUCUACUAGCAGUUAUGAUUCUCAUUCUAUUGAGCAAAUGGAUUCUGCAUCAGAUUCGUAUCAAAAACUAACACCGGAAGUGACACAAAUGGAAUCAUCUGAGCACCAAAAGGUAGGUUUGUUUGUAUCUCAGCAUGUUGCUCUUUCUUUUUAGUUUGUUUUCAUUAUAGUUUCUAGAUUCUUAUUUGGUAACAACUUACAAAGUCUAGUUUUAUUUUAAAUAAUAAUUAGAUGUACAUUACACAUAGUGACUAUCUAUGUAAUAUGUGGUUGAUGGACUUUGUAUUACUUCAGUAAGCAUGCAUAACGGAGCAAUGUCUCUGCUGAUAGGUUAAGUGCACAACAAAGGUGGCUCGGUCACGUCACACUUUCUUCCUAAGCUUGAACAUAAGUUCCUAUAUUGGUUUACAGCAUUAUAAGUAAGAACCAUGAUGUGUUUUAUUGAAUUGGUUCAUUAAUCCAUGUGGAGAUAUAGGUAAUAGGAGAAUACAGUUAAUGAAAUUCUAAAUGAUGUUAUUAUACCUUAGUUCUCAUGUCACUAUCUCCCUUGUUGAAUCCAUGUCAUUUGUGACUCUGCAGCGUUCAUAUGAUGAUGACUUCUUCGCUGAUAUACUUAAAGAUGAUAUAAUCAAGCUAGAUGAAUCUUCAGUCUCUGUUGCUGAUAACAUACUACCUGUGGUUGAAAAUAAUUCAGAAGCCCAACAAGAGUCGAUGCAAGCCGUUGUUUCUCAGGCCAUUCCAUUUCAAGGUACUGCAAAUCGAAGAAUCAGAUUAAGAAGGACAAGGUUAAGGAUUCAUUCACAAGCAUCAAUAGAACGUAUGACAUCGGGGCAGUCACCAAAAUGUUUAGCAAAUAAUCAGGUCUUGAUAUAUGUAUUUUUGUUUUUCUAGUAUUGCUGGUUCUGUUUCUGUCAAAUUUUUGUUUUUCUAAUAUUUCUGGGUCUGUUUCUUUUUAUGGUGGGAGGUUUCUGGCUAGCGAAAAACUUCAUAAAUGAGUGAAGUAAGUAUGUAAAGUUUUUCGACACAUAAUCACUGUAUAAAGUUUCUAUCACAAAAUGUAAAUAGUAGACUUCAUGUACAUGACCGGCUGUGGACUUUGUUGGAGCAUAAGAUUAUAAUUCCCAUGGAUUGUCUAUUGGAGUGACACUUGGGUUUUAAUUAUAAUUCUAUGUUUUGGAGUUUUCAGUCUUACUCUUCUCUCAAUGAAAUGCUUGAGGUUAAUUUUACGUGUUUCAGUGCAGCAGAUGUUUGCUAGAUGAUGCAUAUUCUCCACACUAAAUUUGAGGCCAUCGGUCCGCAGUAGUUGUCCAAAUCUCGUUCUGUCAGCUCCAAUCUUUAUAUUUAGGAGGUUCUGUCAACUCCAUUGGAUUGUAGACAUCCAACAAUUUUCAACAAAAUGCAGAAACAUAACAAACACUUGACACAAUGCCAAAAGCAGCUACAACCCAAAGAAUAGUAUGUCAAUGACCAAGAAAGUUACUGAUCACAGAAUGAGUGGCUACUUAAGUUCCUUGUAACAGGCAAGGAGGUAAACAUUUUAAGAGGGGUAGUAUUUGUGAAAUCGGAAAAAUUGCUUUCUGAGAUUAUAUUUUAACUUACGAUUUGGUUUUGGCGACAGUAUUCUCUAAUUUUAUUGUGUUUAGACAAUUAAAAGUACACUAUUGUUCACCUCAUUAAGAUGUACCUUUAGUAUGUUCAAUUACCUUUAAGCAUCAUUUGGUUCGUAAAAGGAAAGCAUUCAUUUGUCUUUCUCAAGAAAAGGGAAAGAUGAGGGAAAUUAAAUUUCUGAAGAACUUCGGAAUGUUGUUAAAAAGUUUAGGAUUAAUGAGAUAAACUAAGGUGUUUUGAGCAAUAUACGCAAAGGAAGUAGGAGGGUAAGUAGUUCCUUUACCCAAAGGCCAAUUUGGAGAACUACUUUCCACCAUAUUUUCUUUUUUGUUGUGAAAAGAAUUUUGAUAUCCCAAACUUAAGAAAUGAACAAUUUUUCAUUCCCGAUUCUUACUUUCCGUGAACCAAACAAGAUCUUAGAUGUAAAAUGGUCAAUCACUAGCUAAUUAAAUAAAAAAAUAAGAUUAAUUUUCUUAAAAAUAAUAUAUUUUCAUCGUUGUUACAUGCAUGUACGGAUGUUUGAUUAAUUACCGACCUUUUAAACAUUUUUUCUACUAUUAUACGAACUGACCUUGUAAACAUUGUUGAUAAUCAAGUGUAUGUUUAGUUUUGUUAGUACCGUUGAAAAUUUUACGAGAAUAGAUUCAUAGGACCAACAUGCAGUUGCACCAACAUGAAUAAACUAUGUUGUUUCAACAAUAACUCCAUGUUCCACAUGCUCCGCUGCAUAUCACCUUACUACUCACUGCACAAAUCUUGUUGUGUAGUGUAUUAGAUGUAUGCACCAUAAUUCAAUACUUCCCCUCAAGGUGGAGCAAGAAGAUAUCCAAGCUUGCAAAGAAUACUUUGAAACUGAACCGAAGUGAGGGACUUUGUAAACAUAACAGCUAACUGAUCUUCACUUCUGGUGUAGAGACUAGAGAGUUUCAAUGACUUGAGACUGAACUUGAUUUCCUAUAUAAUGAAAAUCUAAUUCAAUAUGCUUAGUGGAACACUGGAUUGGAGGCAAUAUGCAUGGAUCCGGAUUUUCUGCUUGGAUUUAAGUUGGUUGGAUUUGCUUGGAUGUCUUAUAACCAUUAGAUGGAGUAAAAAUGACAUAAGGAUGGCAUGACUAUCUUAGAUUGUACUCAAUCCAAUGGUUAGAAGUCAUCUCAGCAAAUCUAAGCAACAUAAAUCCAAGUAGAGAAGUCAAAUUCAAUAUGCAUAGCAGCUUGGUUAUCACAGUGUAACGACAUAGCUGUAUUAUGAGGGAAUCCUAGAUCACUAAGGAGACUUUUCAACCAAAUAAGUAAUAUAUUUAUUUUUAUGAGAAAAAACUGUGUUAGAUAGAGGUGCCUCAAGACCAAACCCUGAUUCCAAAAUCCUUUUUUCAAAAAUCCAAAUUUCGUGAUUCAUCAAUUUUCGAUGGCAACAGUUGCAUCUCUCAUAAGAGGAAUUAUUACAUGUUCCAGGCAUAUUGUUGAGUGGUGUUCCCGACCCAAUAGUUCUAGGACAUGUGUAUUUUUUUACACAUCACUCACCUGACUUAAAACGGUGUUACUGGUCUGUUAUCGGGGAAACAAGAAACUUCAAGAAAUCAGAUCCAUUCUUAUGAAGGAGAAGGAAGCUCAGGGAAACUCAGGUCGAUCUGCCCUCUUACCGUCUUACGUACCCAAGUAAAACAUAUUUCCACUAACAUAAGCUUCUAUGUUUGGUUUACAGAGAUUUGAGAGGAGAGAAAAAAUAGAUAUGAGUUUUCCUCUCUCCGCCACCGCCAAAUUCCGAGCACCACCGUGACCACCGGCUUCCAACGAAUCAGUUCCUGCCUCCGCGAUCAUCUGACGACAUCAAAAACUGACUCACGCUUCAAUAUGCAGGUACCCAAAAUUUCUCUGGGCACCCAAACCUUCUUCUUCGCAUACAAAAAGUAACAAAGGGAUAAUUGUCUUCUUUGUUAGGAGCUAUACUGAUUCUUCACCCACAUAUAUACAAGUCUGAUGACAUAAGCAUAAUCUCUUUGAACCCAAUCAAUAUUUCAAUCUUGGAACCCAAUUAAUAUUCCCUUUCACUACACAUCGCUUUUGAACCCAAAUCAAUUUCUUUGUUUUCUGUCUAUUUCGUUCAAGAGUGAAGAAGAAGAGUUGCUGCAUAACGCAGAUUGACGGAGUUAACAGGCUAAACCAUCCACGUAUCUUUUAUUUAAAUAAUUUUACACGUGUCCUAGAACUAUUGGGUUCGGAACACCACUCAGCAAUGUGCCGGGAACAGGUAAUAAUUCCUCCUCUCGUAGCCAACCCAGUUUUCUUGCGCAAUCCUCGCCUGAAAUUCAACGUAGCAAAACUGAGCGCUAGUAGCCUUCGUGCGUCUGUUUCUUUUUCUUCUUCUACUCCUAAAUUCAAUGUUGACGUGAAACUCAAAAGCUUCUACUCCACAGCAAUGAACAACCGGUACUGGUCAACCAUCACCACCGACUCAGGGAGGCAUGCUUCUAUGUGUCUAACACCUAAUGUUAUUAAACAACUUGGACGUGUCGGCGGUAAGUGGUCGACGGUGUACCUGUACGACCCUAGGUCAGCAAACACUAGCGACUCGCCUUUGGCCAAUGGUGGGUGCAUACAUCCUAAUUUAUCUUGUCAUCUCACUUUAUAUCUGCACUGUUUAUGUGCCAAUCUGGUUAAAGCCCUUGCUCUUGAUAUUCUUUGCAACUCCCAUGGCUCUGCAUGCGUAUUCCUCUCUACAGGGGCGGAACCAGGAUUUGGAUCUUGGGGGGUUCGGAUUUAAAACUAGAGUAUAGAGGAUUAUAAUGUAAUAUUUAGCAUGUAUUACAUACCUUAUUAAUUUAUAUAGGGUAAAACAAGUAAAUAGAUUAGACUUCAAUGCUAAAUCUAAACAACAUUUAUGCAUUUCUUUUUAUAAAUUGGAUGCAGUUAUUAUACAUUAAGUAACAUUUAGUUCUAAUUUUUUAUGCUAAAUUGUUGUUUUAUUGAUUACGGGGGUUCACUCAGUCAAUUAACACAGGAUUUCAUAAUCUCCAUUAGAUACAUGUGCUGAUUAUAGAAGGAUUGAUAAUUGUUGGCAGGGGUCCGGACCCCUGGGUAGUUCUACCCCUGGUCCUCUGGAGAAACAAGUGUCGUCGAUCUAUAUAUAUAUAUAUAUAUAUAUAUCCUUUCAGAUACGGAUAUCCGUAUUUAAUUAAAAGGUACGGAUUUCUUUAAUUGACAUACUUUNNNNNNNNNNNNNNNNNNNNNNNNNNNNNNNNNNNNNNNNNNNNNNNNNNNNNNNNNNNNNNNNNNNNNNNNNNNNNNNNNNNNNNNNNNNNNNNNNNNNNNNNNNNNNNNNNNNNNNNNNNNNNNNNNNNNNNNNNNNNNNNNNNNNNNNNNNNNNNNNNNNNNNNNNNNNNNNNNNNNNNNNNNNNNNNNNNNNNNNNNNNNNNNNNNNNNNNNNNNNNNNNNNNNNNNNNNNNNNNNNNNNNNNNNNNNNNNNNNNNNNNNNNNNNNNNNNNNNNNNNNNNNNNNNNNNNNNNNNNNNNNNNNNNNNNNNNNNNNNNNNNNNNNNNNNNNNNNNNNNNNNNNNNNNNNNNNNNNNNNNNNNNNNNNNNNNNNNNNNNNNNNNNNNNNNNNNNNNNNNNNNNNNNNNNNNNNNNNNNNNNNNNNNNNNNNNNNNNNNNNNNNNNNNNNNNNNNNNNNNNNNNNNNNNNNNNNNNNNNNNNNNNNNNNNNNNNNNNNNNNNNNNNNNNNNNNNNNNNNNNNNNNNNNNNNNNNNNNNNNNNNNNNNNNNNNNNNNNNNNNNNNNNNNNNNNNNNNNNNNNNNNNNNNNNNNNNNNNNNNNNNNNNNNNNNNNNNNNNNNNNNNNNNNNNNNNNNNNNNNNNNNNNNNNNNNNNNNNNNNNNNNNNNNNNNNNNNNNNNNNNNNNNNNNNNNNNNNNNNNNNNNNNNNNNNNNNNNNNNNNNNNNNNNNNNNNNNNNNNNNNNNNNNNNNNNNNNNNNNNNNNNNNNNNNNNNNNNNNNNNNNNNNNNNNNNNNNNNNNNNNNNNNNNNNNNNNNNNNNNNNNNNNNNNNNNNNNNNNNNNNNNNNNNNNNNNNNNNNNNNNNNNNNNNNNNNNNNNNNNNNNNNNNNNNNNNNNNNNNNNNNNNNNNNNNNNNNNNNNNNNNNNNNNNNNNNNNNNNNNNNNNNNNNNNNNNNNNNNNNNNNNNNNNNNNNNNNNNNNNNNNNNNNNNNNNNNNNNNNNNNNNNNNNNNNNNNNNNNNNNNNNNNNNNNNNNNNNNNNNNNNNNNNNNNNNNNNNNNNNNNNNNNNNNNNNNNNNNNNNNNNNNNNNNNNNNNNNNNNNNNNNNNNNNNNNNNNNNNNNNNNNNNNNNNNNNNNNNNNNNNNNNNNNNNNNNNNNNNNNNNNNNNNNNNNNNNNNNNNNNNNNNNNNNNNNNNNNNNNNNNNNNNNNNNNNNNNNNNNNNNNNNNNNNNNNNNNNNNNNNNNNNNNNNNNNNNNNNNNNNNNNNNNNNNNNNNNNNNNNNNNNNNNNNNNNNNNNNNNNNNNNNNNNNNNNNNNNNNNNNNNNNNNNNNNNNNNNNNNNNNNNNNNNNNNNNNNNNNNNNNNNNNNNNNNNNNNNNNNNNNNNNNNNNNNNNNNNNNNNNNNNNNNNNNNNNNNNNNNNNNNNNNNNNNNNNNNNNNNNNNNNNNNNNNNNNNNNNNNNNNNNNNNNNNNNNNNNNNNNNNNNNNNNNNNNNNNNNNNNNNNNNNNNNNNNNNNNNNNNNNNNNNNNNNNNNNNNNNNNNNNNNNNNNNNNNNNNNNNNNNNNNNNNNNNNNNNNNNNNNNNNNNNNNNNNNNNNNNNNNNNNNNNNNNNNNNNNNNNNNNNNNNNNNNNNNNNNNNNNNNNNNNNNNNNNNNNNNNNNNNNNNNNNNNNNNNNNNNNNNNNNNNNNNNNNNNNNNNNNNNNNNNNNCAAUCCUUCUAAAUAGCUCGAUAUCGACCUAUUUACUCAUAUAUCUACUCUCUUUUAUAGGUAUGUCUCUUUGAGAGAUCGGGUGUGUGACGACUUAGAAUUUUUUUUGAAAAUAAUAUUAAUAUCUAAAAUAGUAUAUAUAUAUAUAUAUUUAUAAACAUAUAUAUUUUCUUUUAAACUGUUGGUAUUUAGUGUUUUGUGUGUGGAUAUAUACAUAUAGUUUUAUAUAUAUGCUGAAAUUGUUUUCAUUGUUUUUAGACUUGUUUUUAUUUUCAUUUUAGUAGGAAAGUUCUUAGCCCAUAAACCAAAACCUUUACCCAAUAGUAAACCCAAGAUAUCUUAACCCAAGCCCAAACUUAGAGCACUUUUCAGGAAACAUGUUGUCUCAGAACGACGGACAUACCUCGACAUCCAUACGCAAAGCAUUGUCUCUCUUCUUCAUCAUUUUCUUCUCUCUCCAGAUUCUUCCCAAACUGAAACCUAAUCAACCCUACUCGAAACCUUGCUCGACCGACCUCAAACCCAGAAAAUAUCCUAGGAAAAUCUUAAAUAUUAGCAGCCGACCUUGCCAAGCAGGAGGUGUCGAAUUCUCAGAGCUCGAUCGAUGACUCCUUCAAGCUAUUUUGCAGGAGCUGGAACCCUAGGAGCCUAGAAGUGGCGGGUCUAGGAGCUAAACGGGUAAGUACUCAGUUGAACAAAUCGAUUUUUGCUUCUUGUGUUCAUAUCUUAAGGAUUAAGUUCCUAGACUCUAUAAAUAGCUGUGUUCAGUAUUUUGGAGAUAGGUCUUCUAGCAAUCCCCAUACUUAGAGUGAGGGAGAGAUACCUUGGUGUAGGAACUUAGGUGUGAUUCUAUUUUGGUUUGUUUGUGAAAUUAGAUUGAGAUCACUUUGAGACUUGUGUAUAAUUGUUUCUUUUAUUUGAAAAGUUGUAAUUGAGCAUUGGUUCUGAUUUUGUUGUUGUGAAAAGCUAUGUGUGGUAAGCAUGAUCAUUGAAUUCCUUGGUUAGCCAAAUCAGUUAUCUAAUGUAGAAAAUCAAGUUAUGCAGUGGUUGUUGUUGUUAGGAUCUCAGGUCUUGGAAACUUGCCUUAAAAUUUGAUAUAGACUUAUAUCAGCAAAUUCUUUUUUUUUUAAAAACAAAAACUGGAGCUAUAUCUGAAAUUCGAAAUUCCAUAAGUAAUUGUAGAAAAACCCUUUUUGUGUGAUUCCAGUUCCAGAUUGUUCUUUGGGAUGUCUAUUUCAAAUGUUGUGAAGAACCAUCUUUAAAUUCCCAGCCCAACUGUGUCGUUUUCAGUCUGAAAGUUUACUGGUCAGAAAAUCUUGCUGUCAGACUUCUGUUGUUUUAGUUGUACUCUUUGCUUUUAAUUUUUGUUGUUAUGUUAUGAAAUUAUGCUAAUAUAGAUAUCUGAUAUUGGUAUUCCUAUAUAUGUCUUUAAUUUCUAAAUUUUGAAAGUAGAAACCAAGGACUGGAGUUGUAUAAAGUUGCUUAAAAAUAUAGAAGUUAAGACUAUAGCAUGCUACUUUCUAUUGGUUGUCUUUGUGGUAAUUUAAGCUAGUCUUUUUAGUGCAAUAUUUGUGUUAUUUCUUCAUUCUGAAACAUUUUAGUGUCUAUAUUCAAUAAUCAGUAGUUUUUGAUACAUUUGAGUUCAUGUUUUACUUUCAAAUACUUUAAAUAGGCUUAUAGCAGGAAAUUCUGCAGAUCAGUAUUUAUGAGUUUUCGACCCAGUUGUCUCUUUACUAAUAUCUGUGUAUUUCAGUUGAGUAUUUGAAGUUUGUGUCUUCAUGAAAGUAGUAGUACACAUGUUAAACAUCAUUUAGGAGUUUGAAUUUCUUGAAAAGAAUUUCUGUAGAUUAAGUUAUGAAUUUUCGAAGUUGAAGGUCAGCUUUAAAUGGUUUCUGCAUUUGUUACUAUUUUACUAUUUAUUCGUUUUGAUUUCAAUGGUUUCCUUCAUUCAAACUUGUAUAGAUAUUGAGAUUAAAUCAUAAAGUUCCUAUAUGUGUCAUUAUUUUCUGAUAUUGAAGGUAGAAACCAUGAUUUUUGGGUUGCUUAAAGCUAGCCAUAAGAUUUAGAACUACUUUUACUUGUUGCUUCUUUAUUUUGCUGUUUGUGUGAUGCUUUAGUUCAGUCCUUUACACUGAAAGUUUUGUGUGAUUUCUUUUUGCUUUAACACCAAAAUGUCUAUAUUAAAUACCUAGAAGUUUUGUAUCACUUAGAGUUUCUGUUUUGCUUUUGAAAAUAAAGUUUAGGCACUUUUAGCAAAAUUUUCAGAAAAACCUGAAACUGAAGCUGAAUUUUGAAAAUUCAUAACUAAUUCAAGAAACAUCGUUUUAAGGUAAUUCCAACUCUCAGUGUUUCUUUACUGUGUCUACUAUAAGUCUUUAGAAGAACUCAAAGUCCAAUUCUAAGCAGUUUUGUACAGUUUUUGAAGUUAAGGUGACUGGUUCAGAAAGUUAGAUGGUGUUGCCGUGUAAUUAUGUGAAACUGUUUUGGUUUGCUAUUGUAUCUUCUGUUUAGCAUCCUAACUGAGUCUUAAUUUGAGUUCUAAGUACUUGAUUUCUUAAACUAAUGCUUGUAUCUUUUAUUAGGAACUUGCUUCAAGUGAUCGACAAAGGUAGGGGAAAAUUGGGGAGCCUCUAUGCUUGUUUAUAUGUUGUUUCUUUGGGAUUAUUUACUUGUGUGAAAUGCUUGUUUCUUUGUUGCCAAUCAUCUAUAGGUUUGUCUCGAUUUAUAAGGGUGAUGUUAUCAUCUAAGGUAUAUGAGGAAUGGUAGUGCUAUGCAUAAAGCACUUUGGGUAAAGAAGUUAGGAUUAAACUUUUGUGUAGUUGAGUCCUCGUCCUCAGAGGUACCAUAUCCCACGAUGCCCGUGUGAGUGCGUAAAAAUGAUGCAAUUAGUAUAGGUCAAAAGGGCGGGAUUGGCGAAAGAGGAAUGGACAAGAUGACUAGCAAAAGGGGAAUGUGAGAUUUGAGUGGGAGGUAGUUCAUAUAUUUGAGUAGCCUAAGUCAGUGGUAAUGUAAUAUCCCACAUUGGCCAAACGGAGAGGGGUUAUGUGCUGUAUAUGUACAUGCCCACCUCUAAUUUAACACGAGGCCUUUUGGUGGCUCAGCGGCUUCGGAGGGGAUGGGUACUCCGAGGUUAAGCAUGUUGAUGCUAGAACAAUCCCAGGAUGGGUGACCUACUGGGAAGCUGCUCCUGAGCUGCCGGAAACAAAACCGUGAGGGCCGGUGGGCCCAAAGCGGACAAUAUCGUGUUACGGCGGAAUGAGUCUUGGGGUGUGACAAAUGGUAUCAGAGCCACUCUGCCGUGUGGUGCGAGUGUGCCGACGAGGGCGUCGGACUCUCAAGGGGGUGGAUUGUAAUAUCCCACAUCGGCCAAACGGAGAGGGUUAUGUGCUGUAUAUGUACAUGCCCACCUCCAAUCUAACACGAGGCCUUUUGGUGGCUCAGCGGCUUCGGAGGGGAUGGGUACUCCGAGGUUAAGCAUGUUGAUGCUAGAGCAAUCCUAGGAUGGGUGACCUACUGGGAAACUGCUCCUGAGCUGUCGGAAACAAAACCGUGAGGGCCGGUGGGCCCAAAGCGGACAAUUUCGUGUUACGGCGGAAUGGGUCCUGGGAUGUGACAGGUAAAAUACAUGGUAUAGGACAUGUAGACUUAGUCUAUUCGGCUAUAUGAACUAUAUGGAAUUGAUAAUAGAUGUAUUCAUCCAUUUUAUUAAAGUUGUUCAUGUUCUCUUGUUUGAAGAGGUUUUUGCCUCCUACUGAGCUGUUUGUGCUCACCCCUUUAAAUAUUUUGCAGAUAAGAAAUAAGUAGUUUUAAGUUGGUUUCUUGCAAGGAUCUUUUAUCUACAUGUGAAAUAUGUGUAUUGUUGCUUUCCUUAGAAUAAGACGUAGACUUUAGUCUACCUAUGUAAUGUUACUUUAUGGAGUAACUUGAAAUAAAGAAUAAAUUUCAUUUUAUUGUUAAGUUGUUCUUUUCCAAUUUCUUUCAUAUUCUAAUUAUGAAAAAUCUAUUUCAUAGUUGGAAUAUGAGUUACACCUCAAAAAAAAAAAUAUAUAUAUAUAUAUUUUCCAAAAAUUGUGGUGUGACAGUGUGCCUCGCGGAUAGUGGAUCAACCCACACCAUUCUAAGGAACCGGCAACUAUUUCUUGAGUUAGGGCCCUGUAAAUCAUCUGUGACGACAAUGAUUGGAUCUUCUCUUGUGAUCCUCGGGCGUGGAACCGCUCAUUUCUUUCUGCCUUAUGGCACUAUGAUUCAUGUCACGGAUGCUCUUUAUGCCCCAAAAAGGAACCGAACCUUGUUGAGCUUUAAGGACAUUCGCCCUAAUGACUUUCACUUGGAGACUCAUUGUGAGGAUGGAAAAGAGUUCUUGUGUAUAACUUCUCAUGAUUACGGACGUAAACGUAUAUUGGAGAAAACUCAUGAGUCAAUCUAGUGGUCUUUACCUUACUACGAUUCGAAUUAUUAAAUCCCAUGUAGUCGCCAAACAGGAUCUUUGAAACUCUGACUCAUACAAGCUUUGGCAUGAUCGACUUGGUCAUCCCGGAAGGGACAUGAUGAUCUAAAUUCUGCGAAAUUCUCUUAGAUAUCCCUUUUUUCGAUCAAAACGAAAAUGUUUAGGAACUGAUGUCACAUUGAAUCAUAGUGAUGACGCCACAACUGCUCAUCACGGCCCACAUGGGACUUUGACAUCUCUCGGGCUCGGCACCAAUUUCCUGGCUGCCGCUCGGCCGACCCCUCAAGCAAUUGAGGUGCGCCAUUCUUCCCUUGAUCUGUCGUUGACUCUUUCAAACGCUCAUCGUUCAUUUUGCAAAGCUUGCUCUUUAGCGAAAGUAGUAUCGAGACCCUCUUGUGCUAAAGAUAACACCGAGAACAUUUCAUUCCUACAUCGUAUCCAAGGUGAUAUUUGUGGACCUAUCCACCCUGAAUGUGGACCAUUUCGAUAUUUUAUGGUUCUGGUGGAUUCUUCGACGCGUUGGACUCAUGUCGCACUCUUGUCCACACGAAAUGCUACAUUUCCAAAACUCCUAGCACAAAUUAUUAAACUUUGGGCUCACCACCUGAAUUAUCUGAUUAAGUCAAUUCGACUGGAUAACGCUGGAGAAUUUACAUCUUAGACUUUUGAUGACUAUUGCAUGUCUGUCGGGAUUGAAGUUGGGCAUCACGUACCCCAUGUUCACUCGCAAAACGGUCUCGCCGAAGUUACUAUCAAGUGGCUUCAGCUUAUUGCUCGAGCGUUAGUAAUGCGCACCAACCUCCCAAUUGCGUCAUGGGGCUAUGCAAUAUUACAUGCAGCCUUACUUAUUCGUUUUCGACCCACUGCCAAACAACCAUUUAGUGCGUACUAGUUGGUUAUUGGAUAUGAGCCUGACAUUUCGUAUUUACACAUCUUCAGUUGUUCGGUUUAUGUGCGAAUUAUGCCUCCACUGCGUUCUAAGAUGGGUCUUCAAAGACAAUUGGGUAUCUACGUUGGUUAUCAAUCUCUAACAAUUAUCUGAUACCUAGAGCCAUUAACAGGCGUUCUCUUUACCGCAAAGUUUGCGGAUUGUCACUUUGAUGAGACACUCUUCCCGUCGUUAGGGGGAGAUACGAACAAAAGUGUUCAUGUGGAACAACAGAAAUUGUCGUGGUUUGUCCCCACUGUGUCUCAUUAUGAUCCCCUCACCUCACAGACUGAAAGUGAAGUGAAACGUGUUCUUGACUCCAGAAAGUAGCAGAUAUGAUGUCUGACUCUUUCUUCGAGAUUGCGAAAGUGACAAGAUCAGAUAUACCAGCUGCAAAUGUUCCUGCUAGGCUCGAAAUCCCUAAAGAGUGCACGGUCAUCCUCGGGCACGGGACUGCAGCCGCCGGUGGUGCCGCCCACGUUGGGGGGAUAGAGGUCGUGGCUCCCCAAAGGAAAAGGGGGAAGCCACUUGGUUCGGUUGACACGCAUCCGAGAAUGAAACGGACCGACAAGGCACAAGUCAAUCCCUUGAUCAUCGAUGUUGAGAAUCCUUCUCACGAGAUCAUCUCUGAUUACAGUUAUGUCCACAAAUUGAUGUAAUUAGAAUCUAUGGGGGACACCUCAGGAUCAAUGUCAACAUCAGAGAACAUAAAGAUCUCCAUGUGUUAUGAUAACACUUAUGAAUUGAUGAACCGGUCAUCAACCCACGUCGAUGAUAUAUUUACUUAUUCCGUGGCUCACAAAAUCAUUGAGCACGAUGAUAUCGAACCAUGCUCUGUUGUAGAAUGCCAAGGCAGAGCGGAUUGGCCUAAAUGGAAAGAUGCAACUCAGGUAUAAUUAGAUUCUCUAGCAAAGACACAGGUCUUCAGCCGAGUAGUGCUAGCUCCGUCGAGUGUAUAGCUUGUUGGACAUAAAUGGGUCUUUGUUAGAAAGUGUAAUGAGAAGAAUGAAAUACUUCGGUAUAAGGCCCGCCUUGUGGCACAAGGUUUCUCACAACUCCCUGGGAUUGAUUACGAAGAGACUUACUCUCCAGUCAUGGACGUCAUAACUUUCCGCUACUUAGUCAGUUUGAUAAUGUCCGAAGAACUUGACAUGCAGCUCAUGGAUGUGGUUACGGCAUAUCUCUAUGGGGAUCUGGAUUCAGAGAGAGAGAUAUAUAUAUAUAUAUAUAUAUAUAUAUAGAAGUNNNNNNNNNNNNNNNNNNNNNNNNNNNNNNNNNNNNNNNNNNNNNNNNNNNNNNNNNNNNNNNNNNNNNNNNNNNNNNNNNNNNNNNNNNNNNNNNNNNNNNNNNNNNNNNNNNNNNNNUUACAACACUCACUUUACGGAUUAAAACAAUCCGAACGAAUGUGGUAUACUCGUGUAAGUGACCACUUGAUUAGGAAUGGAUAUAAGAACGAUGACUAUGCCCAUGCGUGUUCAUAAAGAAGACAAAUUCUGGAUUUGCAAUAGUGGUUGUCUAUGUCAAUGACAUGAACAUUAUCCGUACUCUUGAUGAAAUCAAAGAGACCGUGGCUUAUCUAAAAUCCGAGUUUGAGAUGAAAGAUUUUAGGAAGACUUGAUUUUGCCUAGGACUUGAACUAGAGCAUCGAGCCUGUGGAAUUCUUAUCCAGCAGUCUGCAUAUGUCCAAAAGAUGCUCAGGCGAUUUAAUAUGGACAAGAUGCACCCUGUUAGCACUCCCAUGAUUGGUUGAAGUUUGGAUAUAACUAAAGAUCCAUUCCAUCCGAAAGGGGACGACGAAGAGGGCUUGGGCGCAGAGGUUCCAUACCAUAGUGCAAUAGGCGCAUUAUUAUACUUAGCUCAAUGCAUUCGACCAGAUAUUGCCUUCUCAGUCAACUUGUUAGCUAGAUUUAGCUUAGCGCCAACCCAACAUCAUUGGACCGGAGUCAAGAACAUCUUUUGAUAUCUUAAGGGUACCAUUGACUUGGGAAUGUUAUUUCCCUACACUGAUUCAAGAAAGACAGAAGAUGGUCUUAUGCCCAUGAAAGUCACGCACCGAUCCACAAAGGGACCGGACCGCUGCCAUGAAUGCCGUCGGUACAACUGCUGGACACUGGUCCGACACCGUGCACGCCACUGCCGUCUUGUCCUAUGCCGAGACACCCAACAAUACGUUGGUGGGUUUCACCGACGCCGGAUAUUUAUCUGAUCCUCAUAAAGGACGUUCUCAAACUGGUUAUGUGUUCACUAUUGGGAAUACAGCGAUAUCUUAGAGGUCUACAAAGCAGACUCUAGUGGCGACAUCUUCAAAUCAUGCAGAGAUUAUUGAUUUACACGAAGCUGUUCGGGAAUGUGUUUGGUUGAGAUCAAUAAUUAAACACAUUAGAGGGACUUGUGGAUUAAAUUCUACAACCGAUAGACCUACAUACAUUUAUGAGGAUAAUGAUUGAGCAAAUGAAGUUAGGUUACAUCAAGGGUGAUAAUACAUAGCACCUAAGUUCUUCUACAACCAACAGCAACAGGCUUUUCUCAACAUUCAAGUGAACCAAGUUAGUUCUGAAGGAAACGCGGCAAGCUUAUUUACUAAGCCUUUGCCUAAGUCUACUUUUAAGAAACAUGUGAAGAGUAUAGGCAUGCGUCGGCUAUCAAGUCUCUCUGAAUAAUAUUCACAUCAGGGGGAGUAUCAUCUCAAUGAAGUAGAUUAGUGCAUUGCACUCGUUUUCUCCUACGAUCAAGGUUCAUUUUUUCUCCCACAAGGUUUUUGUUACUUGACGAGGCAACAUAUCAGUAUCAUCGACAUAGCAGCUGUCACAUCCCGACUCUAAAAUUUUUACCUUAUUUACUAGCUUGGUAUUAAUAAGAGUUUUACCGUCUUCGUCAAUUAGUUUAUGGUUUAAUUGGUCCCUAGAGAGGUUUUGGGGAAUGACUAUUUCGGUGGAAUUAUUCGUAGGAGAAAAAUGUGACGACGGUAAAAAUAGUAAAUUUUAGCUAGUAAAAGGUAAUUUUUAUUGGGGUAUUAUUUUGGGGUGUUAAUUUUGGAGUUGGGUUUGUAUUAGUGUGGGUAUUAAGUUGGACCGGGUUAGUGGAAAAGCCCACUCUCUCUCUUUCUCUUCUCUCCUUCUCCCCCGAGCUGUCCCCGACCCGCCGGAUUUCCUCCGUUCAGUUCGUCGUCGUCCGGUCGCCUGAGACCGCUGCUCUGGUCCCGAUCAGUCGACCUCCGACCCAGCUUCCUUCCUGGACCAGUGGCAGCCUCCCUCGCGCCGCCGUGGGAGAGUAAACGCAGCCGAAAGGUCCGACUGCCGUGGUAGUUCUCUCGUUGGAACUCACUCCUCCAGCCGCCACAGCCGGAGCUGCUUGGCUCAUUUGAAACCCCUCCUUCCGUGCAGCAACCCCUUCAAAAGUCUCACCCUCUCUUGAGCUAGGUAAGGAGAAAUGUGGAGUUGAAGUUCUAGGGUUUUUUAGAAUGUUUUCGUUCGAUUAGCCUAGUUAGGCUCAGAAUUGGACUUGGUGUUAGUUAGGAAAGUUGUAGAGUGUUGAGAGGAUGAAGCUGUUAAAAUUUGGUAGGCUUUGGGGUCACCGGAGUCGGCCGCCGGCCGCCGCUGCCAGGGGAGUAGACGGCGGCGGCGCCGCUGUUGGGGGGAUUUUCAUGGUUUUAAAUGUGUAGUAUUAAAGGGAGUGUAAUGAUGUGAAGUUUGAAAUUUUUGGAGGAGUUUUGAAUAGGUUUUGGAUUUUUGAAAGAUUGGUGAAUUUGGCGGUUAAUGGGGUAGAAUCCGACCAUUCGAUUUUCCUUAUUUUUGUUUUAGAAUGUUGAAAUAAAUGAAUUGAGGCUGUGGUUGGAGUUUGGCGUGAAUCCGAUAAGUUUAACCCUAGAAAGGGUAGUUGAUUAGGCGGAAGAGUUUUGGGUUAUAUAUUUAAGUAUUAUUUUUUUCUGAAAUUAAAGUUUGGUCCUAUGCAUGGUUAUUGUGCCAGGAUUCAAGGAGACCGCACUCAUGUUUAUUGUGCCAGGAUUCAAAGAGACCUCACUUAAGUGGCGAAUUGGAUAUCGUUGGGCUUAUACCUAAAGUUGUGAGUGGACGUUUUAAAUUAUAAGCAUGCAGUGAUUUCAUAUUAAAUGAAUGAUUUUAUUGAAUAUCAAUUUGUGGAAUUGUUUAUUUUCGCAAAGUUAUUUUUGGAAGUAAAUGCUCUUAUUUUAUUUGUUAACUUCGCUAUUUAGAAAGUUACCGAAAAUGUGAUUUUCGGUGGAGUCAUAUAUUUAUUGCUUCUUUUAUAAUUGGCAAUUUUCAUUAUUUUUGGAGAGUUACCGAAAAUGAAAUUUUCGGUGGAUAUGUAUAUGGAUGAUUAUGAGGAUAGUAUGUAUAUAAAUAAACCCUAGCUAGCUAUACGUGCUUUUCUGCCAUAAUGAAGUAAAAUUUCAUUAUGGUGUGACGUGAGCAUUAGAUGCAAUCGUCGUAGCCCUAUAUAAAUUUAGUAAUUUAUAUAGGGAAUAUACACGUAUAUAUACACUCGUGCUUUUCCACCAUAAUAAGGUAAAAUUUCAUUAUGGUGUGACGUGAGCGUUAGACGCAAGCGUAGUAGCCUUGUAUGAAUUUCUAUUUUUCUUAUUCCUUCAGAGAAUUCGUACAAGAAGUAUGAUGAGUGUAAAUACAUACAUACAUAUAUACAUAUAUAUAUAUAUAUAUAUAUUAGUUUAGCUUGAGAGGCUUUAUUUUUUUAAGUUUGGAGACUAGCCGGAGCUAGUCAUGUAAUUGCCAAUUGAUGAGUUGAGAGCUUUUAAGCUGUCGCAUGUAGCAUAUUUUUAUAGAAAUUUAAAUUGGGAAAACAUAAAUAUUUUUCAUUAAAUUCAUUUUUGUCCACUCACUCUAACAUUUUCAAACGUGUUUGUCCACUCACUCUAACAUUUUUGUCCACUCACUCUAACAUUUUCAAAUGUUUUCCCCUAAGCCCUUCGUUUUAAAAAUGCCCAGUGUGCAGGUUAGCAUAAUUGAGGUCGGGCGUACAUGGAGAAGAGGCAUAGUCAAUAGUAUAGCUUCUGCUUAUUUUUAUAUUUCUAGUUCAUUUUCUCUUAAAUAGAGUUGUUAUGAACUGUGGUUGUUGGUUGUAAGAUUUUCUAUUUAAAGUUAGUAAAUAAAUUGAGAGAUGUUGUGAUUUGGGGAAGCACGAAGGCUCCAGGAGUUUAAGGUUGGAUUUGGAUUUUUAGAAGUGUAUACAGGUAUUAUUAGAAAGGGUUGUCCAUUUUCAAGGGAGGUUAUGACGAAUUUUCGGUAAACUUUCCUUGGAAGUGGUCCUCGCAGGAUUUACUUCGGGUUUCAAGGUGAAAUUCGGGGUGGGUCUUGACAACAGCGCGCGGCACAAGGGGAGUGUUCUAGGAUAUUCUACAUCUUUUUAGAUAUUUCUUAUGUGUGCCUUGGCCUUAUGCCAACAGGAUAUGCAGUUAGACUACAUCUUUGUAUUCCUUAUCAUUACCAUAUUGGUAUUGUGUAAUACCAUAUAUAAAGGGCCCAUAUCAAUGAAUAAGACAUCUAUCUUUCACGAUUAUCUAUUCUCAAAUCUCUCUCACUAAACUAUAAAUAUGAUUUUGUUGGUGGAGAUAAAAUUCUCAAAAUUAGGGCUAGUAGGCAUUAUCCCUUCUUUUAAUUGUACUAACUCUUUUCUAGCUUGAUUGCAAAAUUUAGGUAGUAUGCAGAAUUCUCAAGAUGUUUUGCUCAUGUGUUCCUUAUUUGUUGCUCAAUUUUGAUACACAAGAAAUAAGUUGGUUUUUCCGUAACUGGUUCCCUUCUUGUCGAAGACUUUGCUUGGGGUUGUGGUAAUGGGAACUAACUGCUAUCAAGCUAAUUUAAGGCUUGUUUCGUUGAAGGUGCCUAAGUAUUUCCACAUCAAGUGGCAGCCUCUAAAUCUAUCUUUAUUAAACUAAAUUUUGCUAGAUCAGUAUAAUGUAGAUAGGAAUCCUAUUUGUUCUGUUGUCAUCAAAAUAAAAAAAGGCAAGAAAAACACAAAUUUGGUAGUGUAAAGGGCGUAAUUGUCAUUGCACUUAUUUUUAAUUCCUUUGUUUCGUUGAAUGUCAUUGACAUACUAAGAGCAAGUCCACUCCAAGGGGUUUUAAAGGCCCAAGCCUUCAGCCACCUAAGAUUAAAGACCCAGCUGAAAAAACCCAUCUCCACCCAUAAACUUUUUUUGACCCAGGCCUUCAUUGGGUCUUCACCUGGGUUAGACCUAUGACCCAGGCCUCCAUUUUUGAAGACUCGGGCCUUCGUCUCCAGCUCAGCCCAUUUUGUGUGGCCCAGCUGAUGUUGACCACGUGAAGUGCGCGCAAGUGGGGCGGGAUGACGCAAGAGCCGAGCGAGUAAAGGCUACUAGCAGGAAUUAGCCAAGCGCAUGUCGCGUUUUUGUCGCGACGUGGUUUGAAUUCAGAAGAAAGGGCCACGCGUCAGCAGUUUGCUCGUUGCUUUUCAUUUCAAAUCCAACGGUCAUUUGAUCUGGACCGUUGGUUGUGAUUAAACAAGCAGAUCAACGACAUUCAAUUAUACAAUGAAGUUACCGUUGUGUUUCCAACGGUUCAAAAUGAAUUUUUUUAUAUAAAAAAUCCCAACGGUAACUGAGUUAACCACUUAAAAAAAUAAUAAAAAUUCCUAUAUAUAUCACCAUUUAAUUUACAUCUCACACAACAAAAAAUUCCUAGUUCCAUAGAAAACAUUUUUCAUAUCUCUACCAUCUCACAAUUCCUCUCUUUCUUUGACCUCAAUAGAUAAUUUGUAGGAAAUGAUCCGCAAGUCGCAAGAAGAAGAUGAUGAAGAUGACUUGGCAACAAGCGCCGCAGUUAUUCCAGCAGUCGCUCAUCAUGAAGCUCAAAACCAACCUCCGCGGCUCGGUUCUCGUCCCGGUCGUCGUCCAAACCAACCUUGAGAAAGGGAGGACAGAGGCAAAGGUAUGCUUCAAGACUAUUUUGUUAAAUGUCAUAUUUUAAGUGACGAGGAAUUCCGAGUUUGAUAUAGGAUGAGUCAUUGGGUAUUCAACCGCAUACAUGAUGGCCUUUGCAACUACGAUUGAUAUUUUAUCUAAAAGUCAGAUGCUAUGAAGAAAGUCGGUCUACUUCCUGAGCAGAAGAUGACGUCUUCUUUGCGGAUGCUGGCGUACUGUGCUACGGCAGAUCAAUGUGCUGAGUAUUGUCGAAUGGCAAAGUCCACAUCUAUCGAGUGCCCAGCGAUUUACAAGAGGAAUCGUUGCUCUUUACUCAGCAGAGUAUCUUCGAGGUCCUACUCUGGCCGAUCUUAAAAGACUUCUUACUAAAAGUGAAAGACGAGGCUUUCUAGGGAUGAUUGGGAGCAUCGAUUGCAUGCACUGACAAUGGAAGAAUUGUCCAACCGCUUGGGCUGGUGAAUAUAGUGGGAGAAAGAAAAUCCCUACUUUAAUUCUUGAAGCGGUCGCAUCUUACGACGCUUGGAUAUGGCACGUCUUUUUUGGAAUGCCCAAGGCAUGCAACGACCUCAACGUCCUAGCAAAGUCACCGUUGUUUGACGAGCUUACUACCGGUCGAGCACCAAAGAUCCAAUUCCAAGUGAACAAUAGAGUUCAUAAAUUGGGUUACUAUCUCGCUUAUGGAAUAUAUCUUAGGUGGGCGACUUUCGUGAAGACCAUUCCAAACCCCACACGACCUAAGGAAAUUUACAUUUGCCAAGGCUUAAGAGGGAUACAGAAAAGAUGUGGAGAGGUGUUUUGGUAUUUUACAAGCACGCUUUGGUAUUGUUAGAGGAGCUGCUCGGGGGUGGGAUAAAGAGGAUCUCUGAUAUAUCAUGUUGGCUUAUAUUAUCUUACACAACAUGACAGUUGAGGACAAACGCCCUGAAGAUACCGAUGAGGAUUAAGAGUCUGACAAAGAAGAGGACAACAAUAUGAGGCCAAAGAUAACAGAAGUUUGGGAUGGAUCUACCGGGCAAGAUUUUGAGGAAGUUGGUAGAGAUGCUCAUACUUUUGAAGGUUUCAUGGGGCGGUACAAUGAAAUUAGGAAUCAGUAUGAUCACUCAAACCUUCAAGAAGAUCUUAUCGAGCAUUUAUGGGAAGUGCAAGGCAACAUGGAUAUAUAGAUUGUGGUUUUUUUUGUUUUAUGUUAUGUUUGUGUUAUUUUAAAUAAUUGUAUUUUAUUUUUUUCUAAGCUUGGUAUGUCAAUUUAAGUCAUGAAAUAAAUAUUUAAUUUCAAUAUGUCAUUUUGUUUAUUUAAUCAUAAUUUUAUUAAUAUAUAAAAUCAUUAUUCACAUUCAAAAUACCUAAUAUAAAAUUCAAUAAACAGUCACUGUCACGUGGCAACCCAGAAACAGAAAUCGUUGAUGGAAACUACAGCCCAAAAUCACUGUCACGUGAUAACUCAGACUUCACCUAUGACCCAGACAUUCCCAAUAAAGACCCAUAAGGUGAACUUAUUCUAAAGACUCCCUAACAGGGAAUGGAAGCUCUAGAAACGCCUGGUACUCUUUUUCCCCUUGUUUAUAAAAGAAAAGAAAAAAAAAAUAAUGUAUAUAUAUAUAUAUAAAUAUAUAAUCAAAUCAAAUAAUAAAAAAUGGGAAGAGAAACCAAAGCUCGGCAGUGCCCAAGUAAAAACGUAUGAAACAUUCCAACCUCUAAAACUGAAUGGUGGUGAAGUGCGAGCGAGAAGAGACCAAAACAUCAAACUACAAAAACAUGGCUGUGGCACCAGUCAAGGAGACUCCAGUCUUCGCCGAAGUUGACAUGGGCGACGACUCAUCCUCUCCCACCGUCCGCGCCACCAUCGUCCAAGCCUCCACCAUCUUCUACGACACUCCCGCCACUCUAGGUCCCUCUCCACCACCUCAUUCCCUUUCCCAUCAACAUUUUACUAUCUUUAAUAUGAACCAGUCUUGAUUGAGCUAUGUUUGUUGUAUGUGCAGAUAAGGCUGACAGAUUGCUGGCGGAAGCAGCUGGGUAUGGAUCGCAGCUGGUUGUGUUUCCUGAAGCAUUUGUGGGAGGGUAUCCUCGUGGCUCCAAUUUCGGGGUUGCCAUUGGGAACAGAACCGCUAAGGGGAAAGAAGAGUUCCGAAAGUAUCAUGCCGCUGCCAUUGAUGUACCUGGUAAUACUCCUUUGUGUUUUUGUUUUUCGAAUUGUCGGAUUAAUUGAAUGCUGCAUUGGAAUGCUUGUUUAAACUUGAGGGUUAACUACUGGUUGCUUUUUGUUCUUUAGUUUGACAUGAACAAACUUAUGUUCUAGUGGGAUUUGAUGUUAUUCCCUGUAUUCCAGGGUAUACAUUACAAGCUGGUCAAUGUUCAAUCGACAUCCUUAGAAGUACAUAGUCUUAGUAAAUUCUGGAAACAGAUGUGAUGCAAGAAGUAAAAUUUAUGUUUGCUAAGACCCUUGGGUAUCAUUUGAUACCUGUAGUCGUCCCUAUUACACAAGAAGAAUGUAUGUAGGUCCUAGUUUUUUUUUUUUUUUUUUUUUUCCAGUAAUUUCUUAUAUAUAAUAUGGCCAAUUGUUAAAGGUCAUUAGCUCAUUUGUGUGUGAGAUAUUCCCUUGGUUCCGCUCCACUACUCUUCUCUUUGACUCUGUAUGAGUUUUUCCAAAUGACUUAAGUCAUGUCUAUUUACGUGGUUCGGCUUAGCCUACAUCCACAGUGCAGCAGGGACAAAUUCACUAUCACACUACCAACUUUGCAGUUAACUGCAACAUAUGUUCUUAUUCUUUCUCGUGUAAACUGCCACAGUUACAACCUCUACUCUCCUAUUUCUUAGCAGCCUUUAAUAACUAUUGCAUAAUAGAGAGACAGAUAAAUAACGAGCCACAACACAAUAACCUCUGCAUGAAAAACCUGAUGUUUAGCUAAACAUAUAGCACUUUGACUAUCGCAGUGAAGCUCCACUUGACUUUGAUCUACGCCGAAUUCAGUAACGAGUCCAUGCAACCACAAGGCUUCUUUUACAGCUUCAGUAGCUGCCAUAUAUUCUGCCCUGUAGUGGAUAAGGCAAUAGUUGCUAGCAAAGUAGAUAUCCAACUGAUCGGUCCUUGUGCCAUGGUGAACAAAUAUCCUGCACUCCUGCAGUAGACCUGCUCUUAUCCAAACUACAGCAAAGUCAGAAUCAACAUACCCUGCAACAAAAUUUCUCAUUUCACUACUCUUCAUGGUUGCAUAUUCUCAUGUUGAAAUUAAAGUAGAUGAGAGCUUCAUAUAUCAUAAGUUCAUAGCAUGGAUGUGUCAGUUUCUAUUAAAUAAGAUCUUAUGGAUUGUUCUCUGUCCAAGCUUUAAUAGCAUAAAAAAAACAGCAUAUUGAUGUUUUGUGAACGUUGACAUUAUAAAUGGGUAUUCUGGAAGCUAAAGAGAUAAAAAAAACAUGAACCCAAAUAUUAGAUGACCAUAAAAGCUUAAUAUGUGGUUGAACUGUGAUAUGUUCUUUUAAAUCCUAUUAGUAUCCUAUCAAAGUUGUGUGGAUUCUGUAUGGAGUUCUAUCAAAUCUAUGAAUUCCACUGAAGACUGUCCAUGACAGAAACUGUACUGCACUCUUUGACAAUCCCAAAAAUGUGCAACUAACAUGCUUAAGCCAUAUGCCCUUGUUAGGUCUAGAUCAACAUAACUGAGUCGUGCCAACCAAUGCAGUGUGUACAAAUGUACCUAGAUCGGAAGGGUUGUUUAGUUUGCAGUAAUCCAUUUUACUCCUCGGGUUUUGACCAUUUCUAUGAUCAGAUAUGUUGAGUAAAAAGUUAUCCUAUUCCAAGUUUUUCAUGUUUUCUCCUUACAGAUGGAGUUCAAAUAUUCUCUGGAAUAUGCUAAUAAGUUUACUAUCUAUCAGGAAUAAAGACAAUGUGUGCUAAAACAAUUAUUAUCACAUUCUUGCCAAUCGUGAGGCUGUAGGGUAUUAGUUCUUUAUUUACUUUUUGUGAAGAAGCGGCAUAAAUAUGUAUUCAUAAUUUCUGUCAACUUAUGCAGGUCCUGAAGUUGACCGACUGGCAUCAAUGGCUGGAAAAUAUAAGGUCAUCCUGGUAAUGGGUGUGAUAGAGAAAGAAGGGUAUACACUAUAUUGUACUGUUCUGUUUUUUGAUUCUCAAGGUUGCUACCUGGGAAAGCACCGAAAAAUAAUGCCAACAGCAUUGGAGCGAAUCAUUUGGGGAUUUGGAGAUGGAUCCACAAUUCGUGUAUUUGAUACUCCAAUUGGAAAGAUAGGUGCUGCCAUUUGUUGGGAAAAUAAAAUGCCACUUUUAAGGACAGCAAUGUAUGCUAAAGGUUAGUCAUUUCGCUUGAAAAUGAAAAACUCUACGUAAUUAAACUGUAUCAACUCUUUUUGCUAUAUGUGUCAGUUUUCCCCUGAUUUGCUUAACUUUCUCCUUUCUUCUAGGUUUCGAAUUCAUAUUAUGAUUUAAUUCAGUGUAAUAAGAGUAAAGAAUAGCUUUUCUCCAGAAGAGAUGCUAAAAAGGCUUGUUCACUAUACUUCUGGACUUCGGGGUCAUAGCCAUGUUUGAGGCCUCGAAAUUUCCAUGCUUGCUGUGAGUUUGAAGUAUAUCAUCCGGUUUAGAUUAAGGGCUGUGAUUUUGGCUCUCCACCUUCAGCUACUUAGAAAUGAAGUGAAAGUGUUAAACUUUGCUGAAAAAUGGAGUGCCAUACCACCCUAGAUUAAUAGUUGAUUGGGGCAACUGGGUGGUUGAUAAAAUACUAUUUGGUAAGAUUGACUCAGCGUUUAAGUUUAUCUUUGAUAUCAGAAGUAUGUUACCUCUCAGAUACACUUUUUUAAAGAUGAAUUAUGUUCACCACGUGCCCUUUCCUUCAAUAUAUGUACUUGGCAUUACUGAGCAUUCAUUCUGAUUGGCAUUUUCAAUUUGACUGGAUACCGUUUGAAAGUUUUAAGGUUUCCACUUAAUAUGAACCUGACUUGCUAGCUAUUGUGGGUUGAAUAUAACUGUGCUUCUGGUUCCAUUUUUUGUACAGUUUUUUGUUUUGUUUUGAUGUAGAAUAAUUUUUUGCUUUGUAGGCAUUGAAAUAUAUUGUGCUCCCACAGCUGAUUCUAGGGAUCUAUGGCAAGCAUCAAUGACCCAUAUUGCUUUAGAAGGUGGGUGCUUUGUCUUAUCAGCUAACCAAUUCUGUCGAAGGAAAGACUAUCCCCCUCCGCCAGAGUAUAUAUUUUCAGGCAUGGAAGAGGAACUUACUCCUGAUUCUGUUGUCUGUGCUGGAGGCAGCGUCAUUAUAUCACCGUCAGGGACUAUACUUGCUGGGCCAAAUUAUGACGGGGAGGCACUCCUCACAGCAGAUCUUGGUAUGCCAUGUGUUUUUUUUUUUAUAUACUCUACUUUUGAUAAUCAGUUUUCUGUUUUAUGAAGAAAUUAAAAUAAAUAAGAGAUUUUAUAUUACAAAUUGGGUUAUUAUUUCUUCUAUUUUUCUGAUAAUCAGUUUUCUGUUUUAUGAAGAAAUUAAAAUAAAUAAGAGAUUUUAUAUUACAAAUUGGGUUAUUAAUUCUUCUAUUUUUCUGUUAUGGAGAGUGAAGCCUAAAACAAUAAAAAUAAACUAAGGAUCUCAUUGGUCCUAGGUACCCUGAUAAUAUCCCCAAAAAUAAAGUUGAAGGACAACUAGGAGGAGAGUCAAAAGACACAUCGAUCUGCGGUCCAAAGAGAGCCCAUAUUUAGCAAUUAUAUUAGCUGCAUAGUUUCCUCCCUGUAAGUUCGCACUCACUCUUGCAGCUAAAAGCUUGCACUCCUUGGGUACAAAUGGCAAGCUCUGGUCAGGCUAAAAGCCUUGCCCAUCAGCAGAAAAAGAGGGACGUAUGCUUAUAUAUCUGCAUAUCAGCUCAACAGCAGUAACUAAGUCAACAUCUAUGUCAACUCUGUUGUUUGUACAGUCCCCAUAAUUUAGCAUUUAAAAUCUGACCGCUUCCCAGUUAUAUGUCUAAGAUUCUUCUCUUAAAGUAGUAUUAGCAGGAAACUGAACCAUGUUUUCUAAUGACAGUGGAGUGUCUUUUUAAUGAUAGUGGAGUGUAUAUGUUUUCAGUACACGAAAUCAGUAUUACAAUAACAGUCUCAUCUAGGCCUCAUGCUUUUUGAAGUGCGAUUUUUGAAGUAAUAUGGUCUAACUGAUCCUAUGGCUCUCUGACCCUCUGUCAUACGCAAAACAUAAUCUGUAGUGAGUUUAAGUUGAGGUAGCUUUACAAGGACAAGUGUCUUUUCUUAGGUAGUUAUAUAUAUGACUUGCUCUAAGCCCAGAAUGAUCCCAUAAAACCACUUAAGAGGAACCUAAUAAAAAAUAGCAUAUUAUCAGACAAAAUUGCUUUAUCAUUAGAGACCAUAACAUAGUGAAUAUAACUUUUUUUUUUUAAUGCUCAUUAUAAUAUAACCAAAUACUAUAGUGCAUGGCUGUUCAUUUCUACAUGAACUUUCAAUAUGAAAGAAGAGUGAAAAAUCAUAAUGGAUCUCUGAUUUAGCUUUUUAUUUUUUGAAUUUUUUUUAUAUUUUUUAUAUUUGAUUCUUUGUUAUAAGAAUGGAUCUCUGAUUUUGUAACUGGCCAAAAUGGUUCUUAGAUCUUGGAGAUAUAGCAAGGGCGAAGUUUGAUUUCGAUGUGGUAGGACACUAUGCACGGCCUGAAGUGCUUAGCUUGAUUGUGAGGGACCAUCCAGCAAAUCCGGUUACUUUUACAUCAGCCUCAGCAAAGAACGAAGACUUGCACGAAUCAUGAUUGAAUCAAAAUGCAGGCUUGUUCACUCAUGAUCGUUUGUGGAUAUAUGAUUUCUGUGACUUUGUUGUAUCUUCUUUGAACACUGGUGUUGUCAUGCUUUGGAAUCUGAUCAAAAGUGAAUUGUACCCCAAAAUUGAUGGGAUUAUGUACUUCCUUAUUUUGUAUUUAAAUCAACUUUAGAGACCAGAUUUCUUGUUAUACUUGUAAUUUAAGUCCAUCUUGAAUAUCUUUCCUUAGUUAUAAUCCAUAUUGAAUAUCUAAAGAAAGGAUAUAUAGCAAUAUAUCCUCUGCUUUUUUAUAAGUUUGAGGACUAUUCGGCACUUGAUAUUGCUGGUAUGUAAACACAAUCAGUAACAACACUAAAUAAACUUCUCUGUCAAAAAUAAAUUUGGGACCUUCCUUGGUGUUUCUUUGCAAAAGGGCUAGACACCUGCAAUGCUCACAUGAAGGCUGUGGAUCCCGUGAAAAUUGAAGUGAUAGUUGCGUGCGCAUUACCCCAACCAAUACGGUUAAGGAGUCUAUUUUAUAGUUGGUUUUAGAGCUCAAGGAGUCUUAUUUCGUGUGCAUAUAGUUGGUUUCAGAGCCCUAGAACCAACAUUCUCAAAGAGUCUAUUUUAUGUUGAACCUUGGUGUAAUGCACACACAACUAUAUGCAUCACAUCCUUGAGCUAUAUGAAUCCUUGAGCUCUGGAACCAACAUUCUCCAACAACUAUAUGCAUUACCCCAACUAUAUAAUGCACACGCAACUAUAUUCAUCACCCCAUAAAUUGGGUGUGCAUUACCCCUGACCAAAAUGAUCUCCAUUAUUUAACGGUGUAGACUACUGUUAAAAUUUCUAGGGUAAUGCAUCACUCCGUAUGCAUCACCCUGAUGAAUCUCGCAUUUAGAAACAGGCCUCCUUUUGAUACGAAAUGUCUUAAUUACAAUCGAAUACUGACUCGCGAGCCAGAACCAAUUAUCCAUCUGGUUCCGGCAUCAAGAACAUGUUUCCUCCAUAUUAACCCCUUCUCCGAGUUGAGAUAAAGUAUUAUGUUCCAUAACAGUUCAGGAACUUCUAAGAGUUUUAACGUCAAUCCGGAAAAUAAAGAGAUAGUAAGGAAGAUGGCAUUUUCUUCUAUCUAAAACCCGAUACACCUAAGGAUUGUGAAGAACAAUAAAGCUGUUGAGGUGGAAUAAGGUGGCAAUUUGUAUUCUGAAAAUUGAUGAGAAGACGAAAAUGCAUUCCUACUUCGACUAGACACUUGAAUGGUCACUAUCUUAUGGAUUCCUAUAACAUGCUCAAUAAUAAAGACCCAAAAUUCUACAAAUAAAUUAUAUUGAAUUCAUAUAGCAUCGUAUAAAAAAUGUAUAUACAAUUGAUCUAUCUGUAACAUUGAAUAUGAUUGAUGCAAGCAAUUUAUGUUCUAGAAAGCUUUGAAGAAAGAAAACAAGAGAACCAUUGCUCACAGAAAUUAUAUAACACAAAAGACAUUUAUGUGAACUUGACCUUGGCAGUGUCAUCUAAUGUUAGCUAGGGCUUUGAAUCACUCUUUGGCAAGGCCGUAUGACUUCCUCUUUAAACGACUUCAUUCUCGCACAUCCUUUAUAGGCAAGCAUUGAUAACUGCAAGUUGUAGUGGCAAAGCUUUAAACUGGUUAUACUUUCGGAUCAGAUAAGAUAUGGUCUAUGAGACAUAUAGCAGAUCCGUUAGUCUUGAUUUCAGUUUCGCGUUCUUGUGUUUGAUGCUCGUCUACAUGUUCUUGUGUUUUCAAACCAAAUCCCCAAUCAAUGCCAGUGGAACUUUUGUUUAAGCAUAUGUUUUCCCAUUGUAUCUUUUCAGAGAGAGACCUUCUUCCUUUAAAUUGUUUAUCAACUGAACUCCUUUUUGAAUCAUCUUCAGCAUCGUCUCCACAAGCAUAACUCCACUUGUACAUCCUAUUACUAUUGUCCAUGUUUAGUUCAAUGGAAUGAAGAUCAUCACCUGAGUCUUCUUCAUCACACUCUUCUCUGUACGCAACUUCCAUUCCAUCACCGCCUUCCUUUAUGCUCUGAAUUGACCCAAAAUUUAUUUUCUUUAAGUAGGCCUCAAGUUCCUUGAUUCUUUUGAAGUCUGGAGAGUCACCACUGCCUUCACCCUUAUGGGAUCUCAGGUAGCCCUCUAGCUCAUUCUUCAGUUGCUCGACAGCUGCAUUUUUCUCUUCAAAAUGGUACUUCGCUUCGGAGAGCUUCAUCUGAACUCUCUCCUCACGCAACACAUCUGCUAGCUGAAGCAUUUCCCUCUCCUUCUCCACCUCUUCACGCACUUUUUCCGACUCUCUCUUUAGUUCUUCAACUUGGGCCCUGUCUUCCCCCAUACCUACAGCUAGCUCAUCACAAACUUGCUCAAAAAUCUCUUUUGCUCUCUUCUCCCUCUCAAGUUCUUUUAUUGCCUUUGACAAAGCUACAUUUUUAUCUUCCAGUUCUUUGCCUAGCUUUUUAUUCAACCGUUCUGUUUGUUUUCUCAGCUUCUUCUCUACUUCAAGUUCUUCUGCUAUGCAUGCUACAGCAGCACGUAUUUUCUCUCGCUCCUUGCUUUUCCAGGCUGCCUUUUCUUCUGCAAAAUGCUUCAUCAGGUACUCAAUUUCUUUGCAGUUUGACCUCUGUUCUUGGAUCAAUUGAUGGACCUGGAUACGCGCUCGAUCAAGUUCGGCUCGUAAGGCUGUGAGCAAGGGCAUAUUUAGAGAAUGCUGCUGUUCUUCAAGACCAGAAACACGAGUUAGAACUUUUACGAGCUCCUUGGAUGUAGAAAGGCCAUUGCUGACCUCCUUCAAACAGGUCUUGAUGCAUUUUCGAUCAGUUUUUCCAUAUGAAUGAUCUUUGACCUGCAUAUUGUGAUAUGAAAUCAACAUGUGCUUCUGCAAUCUCUGUAGCUUUAACAUAUCCAAAGUUACAAAACUAAUGCUGUCAAAACUCAAGAAAGAAAAAUUCUGGAUAAUAAUGGCCGUGUGCCUUGCAAUAUCAGAAAAUGUACAAAAUUGUUCCUUUGAAGAGCCAAGAAUGAGUCUUACCACAGCAAACAGCAAAGAAAAAAGUAAAAUGCUAAGAAUUUGUUUGGUCCAUACUACCGACUGUUUUAACAGUGAAAACGAUGAGAGUAUGUGAUAGACUGAUAGGUAUGAACAUUUGAAAAAUCUACUAGUCCUUGAAAAGGACAACUGAGAAAACCAUUUAUGAAUCUUUAUGAGAGAACUAUUAUCAAACAAAUCUCUGGGGACCAAUUCCUAUAAUUCACUGUCAACAUCUUGUCAUUUUUUAACAAAAAAGUCUCCCAACUGUUAUGUGAUAAAGUGAUUGGUGUACCUCAAUUAUACUUUGACUGCUAUGCGUCUCAAAUCCUCCCAAAUAGUGAUCACUCAGUUGAAUCCUCUGAGAAACAGCCGACAAUCUUCUCUGGUGUCCACCUCCAGAUCCAGUUUUCCUCUACAAAAUUACCAAAACCAAAAUAAUAAAAAGAAAAGUUACUACUGAUUGAACAUGAACAGAACUCUUUCAAGCUAGAGACAAUAAAUAGAGCUCUAAUCACCAAGAUAUGAAUAAUAGAGUUCGGUAGUGCAAUCUCAUUCAGCUAUUGAACAUGAAAUUUGUGUAAUGUGUUACUAUCUGAUUUGGAAAUCCAACAGAAAAAAAAAAACUAAAAUUUCAGACAUAUCAUGUAACAACUAAACUUUCAAUAAUCAACACGAAACAGAGUUCUUCCAGCUCAGAGAUGGCUUUUUGCGCUACGGUUUAACAGGAAAACACAAACAGAAAUUUAUCAAAAUUCUCAGAGCAAUGUCGAUUAUAGUAAGAUUAAAAAAAAGGCAGAAUAAUGUCACCUCUGAAAUAGGAGAAUAUGAUGGAUCUGGCAAUUUUGGCGGCAUUUGAGGAACACCCUCCUCCUCUCUCAUUUUGGACUCUUUACUUUUCAAAUCAUUAACUUCAUUGAUCUCCCACAUCGUAGCCGCGAGCUUCCUCGCUGAAACUGACAUGACUUCCUUCCCUUUCCCGUCGUCCUUGGAAUGCUGCUGAACAAGAAGACCCUUUUGCUUCUUCGGCAUGGUGGCCGGCGAUCUGGGGCUCGUUGAAGUCUUCCAAGUAGGCACCGGCGUACUCGACCCGGCACGCUUCCCGACGAGAAUGGCCCGCUUCAGUCUGUACCUACGCACCAAAGAAGAAGACGACGAAGACGAACAGCCUCGCUUCCUGAUCUUGCAUUGCCUCUCGAUCAAAUCCUGGCGGGUCUGCAAAGACAUAUGGGAGAGAAAUGGGUAUGUGGGUUUUGAUCUUGGAGGGCAAUGAUGGCGACCCAGUUGGGGGAUCUUCAAGAUUUUGAGGAAGAAAGAUGGAGAUGGUGGAAGUGCAUUUAUGAUGAUAAGAAGGGGGAGGAGGUCAGUUGGUAUUGCUUUUCAUAAGGCUAAGUUUGAUUUCAAAGUGUGAGCCUUGAAUUCAGUGAUUGGAAAAGUGUGGGAAGACUGUCAAAGAUUCUGGGCAGAGGAGCAGAAGAGAGGGUAUGGUCUUAAAGAAGAUCAAGGGGAAGCUUGGAAAGGUGUCAAAGGUUGCGUCUUUGUGAUAAAAAUGGAAGCUUUAAAAUCUUUAAUUUUGUUGAGAGGGAAAAUGGGGAAAGAGGGGAGAGAGUGAUUGUUUGGUUGUUGUGGGACUUGGAAACUUGGGUUCUUCUCUUCUCCUUCAUUUUCAUUCAUCCGUUGAUUCCAUUUCCCUAAAUUAAAAAAAGGAAGAAGAAAAACAAAGGAAAGAUGAUGUGGCAAACAUGUGAACCAAAAUGCAUUCUCUUCAAUCAGGGUGGUGCAUGUGUAGUUGGGAAGGAUGAAGGGCCACAAACAAUGACUAGGUUCUUAGCAUUUCCAUUUACAUUUGUCUCUUUCCUCUCUGUGCUGGAAUGUUCUUCUUUUCCUGCCUCAUUCCUCUUGGAUCUUGCAACUUCUGCUUACUUACAGACCUUCCUCAAUAGUUUUCUUUUUAUUUUAUUUAGUUUCUGGCCGGUACUUUUACCUUUUUCUUUUUGGGUGGUGAAAUUCACACAUUGUAAAUUGAAAUCUGUACAUCCUUUUUUCUUUUUUAAUAACUUAAAAUUUGUCUUUUAAUAGCAUAAAUUUUGUUUUUUUUAAAUGUGUUGACCAAAAAUUAAAAAAAAGUACGUACGUUUCAAUUUAAAGUGUGUGAAUCCGCAUUUUUUUUUUCUUCCUUUCAUAAACUCUGAAUCCAAAACAUUGAUCAAGAGACGAAAGACAUACAAUGUUGAUCUUUAAUAGCAGAGAUAGACUUAUGCCAGUUAUGUGUAGUCUAAGUAGUGGUUAGGGACUUAGGGUAGGUCUAGCAAAAGAUGUGACUUAGGAUAAGUCAACUUCUUUCAAGUUUUCAACUUUCUUUUAUGAUAGGUCUCGAUUCCUUCUUACCUAACAAAGAUAUUUAUAUAAUAGUUUUACCACUGUUACAGGAGCAAUAAUCGAGCUAGAGCUUAUCCCUGCAUAAGUGCAUAGUCUUUCGAAGAUGAAUUUACACAAUUGAUAAUUUUUUUUGUUAACCAAAUUCUAGUCUUCCACCGGUUAUGUUAUCGAUUAUAGACAUGUUCACUCACUUGACCUCCAUGCUCGAUAUGUCUUAUGUUCAAAGGCAGCGGCCUUGAGCAAAAACCAAUCACAACGCGGCUAAGAAAUAAAGUUGAUCAAUCUCCUCGACACUAUGUAUGAAAAAUAACGCUUGUUAUGAAGUUUUCUCAAUCGAUCGAAAAAUUGUAGAUUCUUGUGUCGAAUUGUAUAAUUGAAGAUGACCAAUGUAAAUAAACUCUUGUUACUUUAAUGAAAAGUUUCACGUGAGGUUAAUUGGCUCGGUUUGUUGUUUGUGACAAAAUUGUAUCGUUACUCUCAAGCUUGGGUAGCUCGUGUUGAGCGUAAAAUUUAGUUAGGGGUUGUGUCAUUUUAUCUCAUGGAUAUUGUUUUUGGUGACCGGCCCGUAACUAUGGAUCUUGGUAGGAAUGCGUGUUUUGGUGUAGGCAUCAUGACCAAUCAUUCUGAUGUUGUAAUUUCUUAGAUUAUUAAUGAAAUUCCCUUCUAUAAAUUAAAAAAGAAUAUGAAAAGCACGUGUUAAGAGAAAAUGUCAUAUAGCUUUUGUCGUACUCUCAUUAUGCAGGGUGACUGUAAUAGGACUUUUCAUGUUGACAGAAGGCAACGAGCUCACCUAAUGACUCCUUCAAUCUUGUGUCUAUGUUUUAACAUGGCGAACGUAAUAAGCAAAACCCAACAUUAAUCAUUUACUAAAAGUGGGUGACGAAUUUUGUUACGCUCAUUGUCAUGACAUAAAUUUACUGUAAAGUAAUAAAAUUUUGCAUUGCUAACUUAAAUAAACAAGGAAAAAUAAAAAGAUGAUUACAUCGUGUGUAAAUCUUCCAAUAUGCAAAGUAGGUCAAGUAGAAGAACAUCUUAUGAAAAGUAAGAUAAAAGUAGUCUCCAACAAAUCAUCAAAGCCAGUACACAAAAUUAAAGAAACUAAUUCAUAUAGUUUCAAACUUAAUCAUCGACAACAUCUUAUCAUCAAAGCCGGUACAGCUCACAAGAUCUCUCAAACAAUCAAACAAAGCCCCCAAGAGAAAGGUUCUUAAGAGAAAAAUCGACCAAGAGAGCAGCCAAGAAGGCGGGGCCCCAACCAACGGCUCAACAUGUUUUGGAAUUGUUGGAGUUUCCUCGCUGUAUUUGGAGCUUACCCGAAAAACAAAUCUUAUAGUAACACCCACAUAAUUGCUACUUCCAGGGGACCCCAAGACUGUGCCCCCAUAUGAUCCUGUCCUCUUUUUUCCAAUUGAAACAUGUCACGAAUGCUCUUGUUUGUGGCCCUUGGGAGCUUCCUGGUUCGAAUUUUGAAAAAUAUAAUCCAACUGAAGCUACAAUGGCAUAAGGUGUGUUGAGAUGGAUGGAGGCAGCAGGAGCAUGGAUGCUACAAUCAGAGAACCAUGUUAUUGAAAUGCCUAGCAAAACUAGCGGAAGGAAAUAAAACUGAAUAUAAGGGUAGGGUUCAUGACUUCAUGCACAUGCACCACUUGUGGUGGUGGAGAGGAGAACAGAAAAUCGAUGUCGGAGAUUCACCGUUGUAAAUAAGAUUAAUUAGGUUAUUAUUAUGCGUAUUCUCAAAAAAGAAAAAAAAAUUAUACCCAAUGGGUUAGUGUAGUGGAAACAUACUAGGCUGCAAGUGGGGAGAACGCUACAAGGACACUGUUUUCUCAAAAGUCGUCUCGGCAGAAAUGAGGCCGAGGAACUUUGGUACAAUCGUUCUUUCACUUUGCACGAGCGUGCCAACUCGCGACCUAAUGACCAAGUGAGCUUUUGAUUGAUGUUGUGUGCUUGAUCUGACUUCUUCAAAUGAUUGUAGAUUGAGGAAGGACCCUCUCAGCCGUUAGGAUCUAAUGCAUGUGUUGCAAGAACUUUCGGCUAGGCGUUAAUCCUUAUCGGGAUCCUCAAAUACGUUUACUUCUUGGGUGAACUCGAAUAUUCUGGUGAUAGGUGAGAGAUCUAUCGGGUUAAGAUACUCGCAAAUCACUGUGAACAUAAAGAUGAAGCGGACUCGAUUAUUGAAACGUUGUGAGAUGAUGUGUGUGUGAACAACGAAUCAUAUCGACCCAAUCAGGACUGGCCAAAAGAGAUCAAUGGAAGGGAGAUUCUACGUUACAACUACUCCUAGGUGCGAUUAAUAAAGUGCAUAUAAUGUAAAGACCAAGAAAAAUAAAGUGCUUGAAUGUAAAGAAACUGAAACUAAAACGAAUUUGAAAGCUGAAUUGAAAAGUAGAAUACAUAUGUGAAAAGAGAGAUAAGUUUGUGUGAAAGACUGAUUUGUUUGUGUGGUGCAGAACCUUUUACAAUGAGUUACCUAUACAUACAAGUUAGAAACCCUAGCUAGCUUUCUUCCGAUGUCAUGGAAUCACCGAGAGAUUCAAUUUCCCUUUUUAGUUGAUUCGUGCAUAAUUGCCCUGAUCUGAUUGAAAUCUAUGAUUCUCGCAGUUUCAAUUUGAUUGGUAUCUUUCUUAAUUUGUAGAGACUUCUAUCCGAAAUGAACUCUGAACCGUGAUUGUUGUUUAGGCUCGGCCAAUUACUCUUAGUUAUUUGUUUUGGCCCGUUUGCACAUUAGUCACUUCGAAAUGCUCUAAUGGAAUAACAAUAUGGGCUAGUGUUCUCACCUUAGCCAGGGGACCGAACAUCCAUACUCUCGGUCAGGUUCCCGAACACCCUUACUCACGGCUAAUUGUCGAACUCUUUCAUUCCCUCCCAGAUGGCCGAAAUGCUUUCACUCUCGGCUGUAUGACCAAAAUGAUUUACUCUCAGCCAAAUGGCUAACUAUUUGUAUCCUCGGCCCAAACGACUAACUAUUCUUCACUUUCAACCAAAUGACCGCAGAUACUCCAUUUUAUCUGAAGUCAUCAAACCGAUUUGGCUGUCAGGAACCACCCCGGAUUUCUCCCUGAAAUCAGGAGUAAACCCUGCGAGGUCCACCUCAAGGGAAAUUUUACCAAAAUUUCAAUAUAACCUCCCUUGAAAAUUGACAACCCUACCUGCCAAAUCCAAACAUACACUUCUAUAAUCAAAACAAACCUCGACACUUGGAGCCUCCCUGCUCCCAGCUCUACAUCAACACCCAAAACAUAACAUGUCGUAGCUAAUUUACAACAAUCUCAAAGGUCAUCAAAGCAAUUCUAACAAGGAAGGAAAACAUAGAUAAGAGAGAGCCAGCGAAAGCUGUGAUAUUGACUAUGCCUCAACUCCGUAUACGCCCGACCUCUUCUACGCUAACCUGCAAUCUAGGCAUUAGAAACCGAAGGGCUCCGGGAAAAGUAAUUGAAAAACGUUAGAGUGAGUGGACAAAAUAAAUUAAAUAAUUUAACAAAAACGUAAUUUGAAUAUUUUCCCACGUUUAAACUUUAAAACCUCAAUGCAUGCAACUUUGAUCAAACAUUCAACUUUAUAUCCAGAAUCACGUAAGAAGAGACAAACCAGCCCCACUGGUUAAUCAAAUACAUAACCGAGAAAGUAAAAAAAGGGGAAGAGAUAUAACCAUGUAAGAGGAGCCUCCCAAGCUCUAGUUGUCACAUCCCGGUUCUUAAAUUAAUUCGCGGUUACUUAUUUAGGUGUUACUUUGACCUUUUACCAUUUAGAGUAACCGUUUACUGUUAAAUGAUCCUAGAGUUGACUUUUUGUAGGAAAAUUAUUUCGAGAAAAUUUCUUUAAGGAAAUUGUAGAAGACGUUAUUACGAAUCCGUAGACAUGCUAUACUUUAAAAUCAAAAUUAGAAUGUAGAAGUUAUCAGGUAAAAAGGAGAGAGAGGGAUUUACUAUUUUCGGGUAGAAGAUUUCAAAGGAGACUUUCUGGUUUGGGAAACUAGUCAAAGCAGCCAACUCUUCUCUCUUUUCUCUUCCCCGGGCCUUUCUUCUUCCUUCUCCCUCUGCCAGCAAGUAUGCCCGCCACUGACUAUCGUCGUCCGGCCAAACUGAGCCACCGUUCCGGUCUCGUUAGGUCUAUCUCCUCCUUUAUCUUACUGAGUUCGUAAUCGGAUCUGCAACUCCACCAUGUGAGAGGAAACUCCUCCGAGAAGCCCGACUGUCCUCUCGCCGGAACUCUCUCCUCCGACCAUCAUAGUCGGAAAUCUUUGGCUCAUCUUGAAGGCCUUUCUUGGUGUAACAAUACCUCAAAAGGAAUCGAUCCCAUUCGUUCUAGGUAAGCAGGUUCGACGGUUUGAAUAUCUAGGGCUUGAAUUUGGGAUUUUUACUGUUUUAGUUCGAUUACCCUAUCUAGGCUUGGAAUUGGUGUUUGUGUUAGUUAUGAAAGUUGUGUAGAAUGUUGAGAGGAAAAUUAUGUUAAAUUUUGAUGAGCAUUAGAGGUGGCCAGAGAAGGGCUGGCCGACCGCCGCUGCCGCCUCUUUUGGGUAGUUUUUCAUGUUAUUAAAUCUGUUAUGUUGAGAGGAGUCUAAUGGUCUGAAGUUUGUAAUUUUUGGAGAAGUUUUGGGUAGGUUUGAGAUUUUUCAAAUAUUGCUGAACUUGGCGGUUAAUAGGGUAGAAUCCGGCCGUUAGAUUAGCAUUGUUUAAACUCUAGAAAGUUGCUUUAACGCUGUCGGUGCUUGUGGGGAAGUUCGGGCCUUAUUGUUUUAAGAAUGGAGAAGUUGGGCAAGGAUGAGUGUUGUAUAAGGCUCAUUUUUAUUCUUGCCUAUUUAUAUAAAUAUUAAUUUUUAGUUGGGGACUUAAUUAUAUAUUUUGAACAGGACGUGAGGAGGCUCGAGCUGAAGACAUCUCGGAUCGACGUCAAGCUUAGGCCUAAAUUUGUAAGUGGACUUUUGCUUUAAAUAAUAUGCGUGCAUUGUGUUAUUGUUGAACAUCUGGUUUUUGUUGGACAAUUGGAGCAUCUGAUGUCAUUUUUAAUUUGGCAGUUUUCUUUAUUAUGGAGAGUCACCGAAAAUAGGAUUUUCGGUGGUCAUAUAUAUAUAUAUAUAUAUUGUCACGCCCCAAUUUUCGAAAGAUAAAUUUCAAAAAUUUUGGCAUGAUAUAUCCUAAAAUAUUAAUAUCCCAAAACCUGUUUCAACAAAAAUCAAGGAAAAUAAACUCAAUGCGAAAUGUAAAUUUACACACAACUCCAAAUUGAGUUAAAUAUUACAUUUUCUUGUUUACAUAACUUGAGAACAAGAAAGGAAACGCUCACAUGAGUUUAAUAAUUCCUAUCCCCGUGUAUAUAAAAGAAUAUACAAAGACACACCCAAAACUCAACAAAAAACCCUGCCACUACGCCUCCAUCUCAACCCUGCUGAUCCUCACCUGCAGGUCCAACCCCUACACCAAGAAAUGGUGCACCGGGUUGUAAACAACACACCCGGUAAGCUAAAAAGCUCGUAUGAGUAAACUAAAAAAAACAACACAACAUUUAUCACAUCCAAUAUUCAUAAGAGAGAUUGGAUCAAUAAUUUCAAACCACACAUCAAACACAUUACCCAAGAGAUGUACCCAUGAGUCCCAGAUAUUUAAUAAAAUACCUCUCAUGACCUACCACAACACUAUGNNNNNNNNNNNNNNNNNNNNUCGGGCCAUCACUCCGAAGUAUUGAUUAUCACCAAAUAUGUAACCCUGGCUCUGAUACCAAACUGUCACGCCCCAAUUUUCGAAAGAUAAAUUUCAAAAAUUUUGGCAUGAUAUAUCCUAAAAUAUUAAUAUCCCAAAACCUGUUUCAACAAAAAUCAAGGAAAAUAAACUCAAUGCGAAAUGUAAAUUUACACACAACUCCAAAUUGAGUUAAAUAUUACAUUUUCUUGUUUACAUAACUUGAGAACAAGAAAGGAAACGCUCACAUGAGUUUAAUAAUUCCUAUCCCCGUGUAUAUAAAAGAAUAUACAAAGACACACCCAAAACUCAACAAAAAACCCUGCCACUACGCCUCCAUCUCAACCCUGCUGAUCCUCACCUGCAGGUCCAACCCCUACACCAAGAAAUGGUGCACCGGGUUGUAAACAACACACCCGGUAAGCUAAAAAGCUCGUAUGAGUAAACUAAAAAAAACAACACAACAUUUAUCACAUCCAAUAUUCAUAAGAGAGAUUGGAUCAAUAAUUUCAAACCACACAUCAAACACAUUACCCAAGAGAUGUACCCAUGAGUCCCAGAUAUUUAAUAAAAUACCUCUCAUGACCUACCACAACACUAUGUGUACCCAUGGGUCCCAGAUACCAUACAGUAUCUCCCAUGACCUACACUGACAGACGGACUAAAGCUCUAUUCCUAACCGUAACCAAUCACCCGGCCAAAGGCUUGGAACCCGGUUUGACUGUCUAAUAUCAAUACAAAAAUGAUAAAUAGCAUCUUAACCGCAACCAAUCACCCAAAAAGGGCUUGGAACCCGGUUUGGCUAUUUAUCCAACAAGCACAAUAAUUUUCACAACAUUAUCCACAACAACACAAGAUCACAAUUAUUAUUCUCAACAUCACAAUAUAAAGAAAACUUGUUUUUAUCUUACCUAUGAGCCGUUGGCGAUCAAGCUCAUGAAAUUUUAAAAACAAUUAAAAGCAUGAUAUUAAAACCAACAUCACCAUCAUUAUCAUUAUAUAACCAUAAUAUCCUUAGGUUCAAAAGUGAACCUUGGUGAGGUUUACUCACCUAAAUCUCCCGCUGCAAAUUCCACAACCGACCAAGGUAAACCAACUCAACUUCACAAAUCACCUAAAAAUAGCACAAUUAAAACCUUAGUAACUAAAAUACUAUAGGUUAACACAAUACCCUUAACUAACCCUUAAUUCAAGAGAUGACAACUUUCCAAAGUCGUCGAACUUAGAGACCCACAAAGGCUGCCUCUAAUCCUCCAUUCCUAACUCAAACCUCCAACAAACCUAAAAUCACACUUAACGUUCUAGCAUGCCAACAUUUCUUAAAAACUAGCCACACUACCACUCAACAAGCUCACAGCAGUAAGGACUACCUAACCACAGGAAACUAGGGCUGCAACUCAACCGGACGCGCCGCCACGCUCCGCCACAGGCGGCGGCGAGUGGGCCUCACGCGCCACCCCAAACUUCCGAAUUUGAGAAAACUCCCAACAGCAAAGUUGAAGCUUGAAGCAAGGGGAACAACUUUCAUACCUGAGACUUCGACCAAAAAUGGCCGGAACCGGCCGGAAACCGCCCCGAACAGUGACCAGAAAAUCAAAGGCAAAAUCUGCAAAACCGGCCUCAAAACCUUACAAACUUGCUUCAAUCCAUGCCUAAACACUACCAGGAGGAAGAGGGGAUCAAGACUCACCUAAACUUGGCCGAAAACGGCGUCGAAAUCGCCGGUUUUCCGGCGGGACAGCGGUAGCUCCGCCGCUUCGUGGCGGCUUCCAGGCGGCGGGACAGCUGGCGGAACUGCUCCAGAAAUGGAGAGGGCUGCUGUGGGAGUCGAAAGGGACCGGUGGCGUCCGGUUUGGUGGCCGGAUAAGGGAGAACUCGGCCGGAGAAAGUGAGAGUUCGGGAGAAGCUCGGGAGAGGAAGAGAGAGAAGAGAGAGAAGAGAGAAAAGAAAGAAAAGAAAGGGAAGAGAGAAAACAGAGACUGACUUUGUUUUUUUUUAGGGUUCCCAAAACAUCCCACACACAUUUUUCUACUUAUACUCUUUUCAAACCCAGAAACAAACUUCCUCUGAACAUAACUUCUUCAUACGACGUCCGUUUCAGGCGUGCCGCAUGUCUACGAACUCGUAUUGACAAACUCUACAACUUUCAUGAAGGAAGUUUUCGAAGAUAACUUACGGAAAAUAAAGUCAACUUUUGGCCUAUUAAAAGUCAAGGCAACUUUAAAUAAACUCCCGAACUUCAACUUCGCAUAAACCCAAGAAUUUUCAUGAAUAAUCCUUCAUUAAUUAAAGGGAUAAUACAAGGAAAAAUGAUAUGAAAAUCUAGGGUAUUACAAUCUACGUCCCUUAAAGGAAUUUCGCCCCGAAAUUCAAAGAUACUAACCCAAAAACAACUUGGGGUACAUAGCCCUCAUAUCCGACUCUAACUCCCAAGAUGCAUCACCCUCAUCAUGAUGACUCCAACACACCUUAACCAAAUCGACUUCCUUCCUUCGAAGCCUCUUGGUUGAUCUAUCUAAGAUUCGAACCGGUUCAACAACAAAGGUUGCAUCCGCAUUCACCUUGAUAGAACUAUAGUCAAUCACAUGUGAUGCAUCCGGAAUAUACUUCCUUAACAAGGACACAUGAAACACAUUGUGUACCCCGGACAUGAUAGGAGGUAAGGCAAGACGAUAAGCCAAAUCUNNNNNNNNNNNNNNNNNNNNCACAAUUAAAACCUUAGUAACUAAAUACUAUAGGUUAACACAAUACCCUUAACUAACCCUUAAUUCAAGAGAUGACAACUUUCCAAAGUCGUCGAACUUAGAGACCCACAAAGGCUGCCUCUAAUCCUCCAUUCCUAACUCAAACCUCCAACAAACCUAAAAUCACACUUAACGUUCUAGCAUGCCAACAUUUCUUAAAAACUAGCCACACUACCACUCAACAAGCUCACAGCAGUAAGGACUACCUAACCACAGGAAACUAGGGCUGCAACUCAACCGGACGCGCCGCCACAGGCGGCGGCGAGUGGGCCUCACGCGCCACCCCAAACUUCCGAAUUUGAGAAAACUCCCAACAGUAAAGUUGAAGCUUGAAGCAAGGGGAACAACUUUCAUACCUGAGACUUCGACCAAAAAUGGCCAGAACCGGCCGGAAACCGCCCCGAACAGUGACCAGAAAAUCAAAGGCAAAAUCUGCAAAACUGGCCUCAAAACCUUAAAAACUUGCUUCAAUCCAUGCCUAAACACUACCAGGAGGAAGAGGGGAUCAAGACUCACCUAAACUUGGCCGAAAACGGCGUCGAAAUCGCCGGUUUUCCGGCGGGACAACGGUAGCUCCGCCGCUUCGUGGCGGCUUCCAGGCGGCGGGACAGCCGGCGGAACUGCUCCAGAAAUGGAGAGGGCUGCUGUGGGAGUCGAAAGGGACCGGUGGCGUCCGGUUUGGUGGCCGGAUAAGGGAGAACUCGGCCGGAGAAAGUGAGAGUUCGGGAGAAGCUCGGGAGAGGAAGAGAGAGAAGAGAGAGAAGAGAGAAAAGAAAGAAAAGAAAGGGAAGAGAGAAAACAGAGACUGUACUUUUGUUUUUUUUUUAGGGUUCCCCAAAACAUCCCACACACAUUUUUCUACUUAUACUCUUUUCAAACCCGGAAACAAACUUCCUCUGAACAUAACUUCUUCAUACGAGGUCCGUUUCAGGCGUGCCGCAUGUCUACGAACUCGUAUUGACAAACUCUACAACUUUCAUGAAGGAAGUUUUCGAAGAUAACUUACGGAAAAUAAAGUCAACUUUUGGCCUAUUAAAAGUCAAGGCAACUUUAAAUAAACUCCCGAACUUCAACUUCGCAUAAACCCAAGAAUUUUCAUGAAUAAUCCUUCAUUAAUUAAAGGGAUAAUACAAGGAAAAAUGAUAUGAAAAUCUAGGGUAUUACAUAUAUAUAUAUAUAUAUUUAUGAGAAAAGUAUGUAUAUAAAUGCUAGCUACCCAUAUGUGCAUGUCCCCCAUAAUGGCAUAGCGAUUAGCUGCCAUUAUGGUGUGAUGUGAGCGUGAGACGCAAUCGUAGUAGCCAUAUAUGAAUGUUUUAAUUCAUAUAGGGGGUGGGCACGUAUAUACCCUCUGUCCACCUUAAUGGCGCAGCAAAUAACCGCCACCAAUAUGAUGUGACGUGAGCGUUGGACGCCAGCGCAGUAGCCCUAUAUGAAUUUCUUUAAAUCCAUAAAUUUAUAUAGGGGGUAUGGUUUAAAUCCAUACUUAUUUUUAAUAAAGCCUGAGAGGCUAAAUAUUUUUUUUUAAAUUGAAGACUAGCGGGGCUAGUCACGUAUUAUCAGUAUUUGUCAGUUUAUGAGUUAAAAGCUUUGACACUUGUGGCAGGCAUCAGCUUUUCUAUGAAAUUAAAUCGGGAAAGCAUAAAUAUGUUAUUUGUUUAUUUCUUUUAAAUUUAUUUUUGUCCACUCACUCUAACGUUUUCAAAUGUUUUCUCCAGGGCCCUUUGUUUUAAAAUGCCCUAUCUGCAGAGUUCGGGUCGGUACUAGUAGGAGGCGAGGCAUAGUUACCAACAGCACCACCAUUUUUCACCAAUAGGUUACAUGUUUAACCUAGGGAUGUGUUCGGUUUUGUUCAGUUCGGUUUUCAACUAAAACCGGAAACCAAACCGAAUAAAAAAUUCGGUUUGGUUUGAUAUGUUUUGAGACCUUGAACCAAAAACCAAACCAAACAGUGGUUCGGUUCAGUUUCGGUUUUUUUCGGUUUUUCUUCUUUUUUAAAAUAAUUUUUCUUAAAAUUUGUAUCCUUUUGGCUUAGUAAAAAUUUAUCGUACUUUAGGUCUUCUUUUUUUUCUUCCAUUACUUGUUUUUAUAAGCACAUAUGAUAUAUCAACAAAAUUUAUGACAAUGAUUCUCCAAAAAAAACCAACAAUCUAUAAACCAAAUAGAUACUUUAAAAG
rnacentral:lncRNA from 1 species